rnacentral:lncRNA from 1 species
UGAUGAUAUAAGCAUCUGGGGUGGGCUUAACUCGAACCCAUUCUCCAUCGGUUUUUCGAUUUACUUCCAACCCUCCAACAUCAUCCUGAGCAAGGAAAGUUAAGGCUCCGGAAUCCUUGUGGCGACCAACGCCCAGAGCUAGGUGAGGAAUGGAGCAAGGUGGGUAGUGAUUGAGGCGGAUGAAGUUUGUUGAUUCUUCAUUCAGGGAUUAUUUCAUCCCUUUUAACCAAAUAUUUAACAUGAUCAAAGACUAUUCCCUAAAUGAAGGCAUACUGUAGCAAAUACCCUUAAUCUGAACAUUGAAAGUACAACUUAAACUAGUAUCAAACACUCUGUUUUUAAACCCAUAGCUACUCCAAAUAUCCCAAAUACUCUUUUCUAUGUAACCUCUCUUUGUCUCUUUCUCGCUCACACACACAUGCUUCCCCACAAAAAUACAUACACACAUAGAGAAGAACACAAUCUCUUAUCCGAUUCCCUUCCGAUUUAUGAUUCUAAGCUGGCGGGUCACUCUCUUAUUCUUUUGCUUUCUUGCGAUGGAGCUCCAUGCUCUCCUUUCCUCAUUUUUUUUCUUGGAUAAAUACUCUAUAAAACAUCCUCUCUCGAUGCUCUAUCUAAACUCACUUGCUCAUUUCACAUUUUUUUCUUUUUGGAUGCUUUCUUUAUGCUCCCAGGCAUAUGCCAGUUUUUUAUGACUAUUUUUGAAGUUGGGAUUCAGAAUUCACUAAAAUCUUUUCUCAAACUUGGAUUUUUCUCAACUCAACCCUAACUUCUUUUCUAUCAGUACCAAGGCUAGAGAAUAUAGUUUAUACCCUUGUAUUUCGUUAUGUACCAAGCCCACAAGAUGAUCAAUAAGUUUCUCUCUAGAUUUUACAUUGGAGUUGAUUGAUGACAUACCCUUAUUAGGUACUAUAUUCUCUUCCUUAGGUAUUGCUUUUUCCUUCCUUAGAUACUACCUUUGCAACCUUGGGUGCACGAUCGAAUCCAUCGUUUCAUGGCCACUUCAAGUAAGUCAGGAACUUAUGUACAUGUGUGCUACAUGUCUUAUAGGUAUUACCUUUACAUUCUGUAGGUACUACCUUUACCUUCCAUAGGUACAAAUAUGAUUAAUAAUAAGAAUUUUAACAUAAAAAAGGGAAAAAUCAUGUCUGAUAAUAAAAUUGCAUAUAUUUUCUUUCUUGCUUUUUUUUUUUUUUUUGGGUCUUUGCUUUGGUUUUUAUUUAUGUGUUUGUUUCUUUUAGUCUUUGUGUGUGUGUGUGUUUUAUUUUAUUUUAUUUUUUUCAUCCCUAUGCAGAAGAUGUAGAGGAAGCAACAUCACAUCAUAAGGUGCAUUUUUCUGUUCAUUUAAGCCUAAAGGUUCUGGAUUCACAAAAUGGUGGGAACUAAGGGUGAGAAACUGGAAAAAAAAAUGUUGGAUUGAGCUACAUUUGAUCAAUAGUGAAUUUGCAAAAAAGAUUGUAGGAGAGGUUUCUUGAGGUGGACAAGGUCAGAAGCAAGGAGCCUUUUCCUAGUUUUUGGGAAGAACUUAUUGUUAACGUGUGAAUUCAUUAAGGGUAAUUUAUGUAAGAUUUUCUAGAUUUUGCAAGUGAAUGCACCUUAGCUUUUCCUAUUGUAUUUGUGUUUUUUUAGGUUGAUUAUUUUAUUGAUCGUCACCACUCAAGGAAUGGAAGCAAUAGGGUCUCUAGAUGUACUGCGUAAAGGCGGGCAUACAGGCGUUGUUAGGAAUGUGUUUCCCAUGUCCAACAAGCAUAUUGACACCACCUAAAGCCAAGGCAUCUUUGGACGAGGAGUUCUAGCUUCUACUUCUGUGGACUUUGUAGAUGUCGUCUGGCUCUUCUAAAUAUUUAUUGUUAUGUAGUAGUUAUACACAUGUACUUUGUUUAAGUGAAUUGAUUAUUGGAUUUUUAGUUAAAUCAAAUUUAAGGGUAUGUUGUUUAAUUUACUAGUGAUCUCUUGUUUGUAAUUCUCGUUAUCAUAUAUAAAUCUUUGUUAGCAUUUUCCAAUUUCCUCAAUAGCAACUAUAUUAGUUUUCAGUGGAAUGAAUCUUGAGUAACUUGUAGUAUCAUUUUUGGUUUUGAAUUGACUAAUCUGUUUUGGAAGGAUGAAUUAGAUAUAUGAGCUUGAUUGCUAACAGUAGUUGAGUUUGUUUUGAUCUCGGGAUAUUUGCCUUGUUGAAUAGGACGUAGAUUUUGGGUCCAAAGAGUUGAAAAUUGAUGAGCUUAACCAAGACAUAGGAGAACCACAUGCAACACUAACCAGAGUUCCUACAACAAGCUAAUAACCAUGAUUUAGAAAUGUGAUUUCGUUAAAGGGAAGCAUUUCUAAUCUUAUUUGAAAGGAAACUUUGAUGUCUUCCCUAAUACACUAGAAUAUUAAUUUAAAAACAACAAUUAAGGUUAUAUUAACUAUUAUAAUAAUUUAUAAAUUAUAUAAAUAUGAUAAUAACUAUUAAAAUGAAAGUAUUAAAUGUAAAAAAGUUUAAUCUUGUUGGGUAAAAACUUCAUCAAUCUUUUAUUAUUGAACUUCUAUUAUAUAAUCAAACAUAGUGAUGAUCCUCGGUUGGAUUAAUCAACACUUGUUUCAUAAAUUGAACAACAUAUAACAUGAUCAACCAUAAACAAACAAGUAAACAUCAUACUAGAUAAAACUAUCUCUUAAGAUUUCUAUUAUUACAUGUUUAAAUUACAAAUCAUAUUUUUGCAACUUUCGUAAAAUUAUGCAAUAGAUAUGAUUAAAAUUACGAAACAUCGGAAAUGUAUAUUGAUUCAUUAUUCAGAUUCAUCAUAUCAUAUAUAUCCUUUAGUAGUCCAUAAGAUCAAAUAAUAACCAAAAUUCAAAAAAUAUGUUUUAUGAUCCAAAAUUGAUUGACACUAAUAUCAUUUGUUAAAUAAACUUUAUGUGAAAUAAUUAUUUUGGAAAAUCAAUUUGGAUGCAUAAUGCAUAAUAGGUAUAAGAAAUAAAGAAAUGACAAAAUAAUAAUUAUAUUCUUGUCUUAAUCCAUGAUACUGAUAACACUUGUAAUGUGAAUUUGAGUCAUUUUGUGAAUUGUUGGGUCAAGGUCUUCAACUCACCAUUCUCAUUUAGUAGAUGAGUCAAUUGUGUGGUAUAUGUUGUUAUAAGUAAAACAACUAAAAACAUAAGAAUGCAAUGUGACUUAGGACCUUAACUUUAUAAAAAAGAUUUAUAACUCUUAAUAUUCUCAUAAAAGAUUAUAUGAAAGUUAUACUCAUUAUUUAUAAACAUUAUACACAGAUUAAUGGACAAUGGUAAACUACCAACUUGAAUACAUUCAUGUAAUUGUAUAAAUUACACUUUUUCAUCUUCCUCUAUUAGUCAUAAACUUUAUGUACAAAUGAAAUCUCAUAAAGAUGGAGUUACACAAGUUGUAAUACCAUAUUCUUAUAAAUGAAAUUUUUCUAACUCUGUAUUUAUAAUUUUAAUCUUCUAUGUUAGAAGUUGAAUUUGUUCCACGUCGCCAAGUUAUUGGGUUAUUAUGUUGUUCAUAUAUGUAGAUUGGUCACCUCUCCAAGCUAGCUUUUGGGAAUGAAUUCUAUUCAAACCCAUUUAACAUGGUAUCAGAGCUUGGUUUGACUGUGGGUUGUGGGUUCGAGCCACCUCUCUGCAAUUCGCAUGUUUGUUCCUUAUUUGCAUGUUUGGAAGUCUAGAAAAGGUUAUUUGCAUUUGUUUGUCUCUUCACGUGUGGAUAUGGGACCACACAUAAGAGAGGGUGUUAAAAAGCUUGAUAUGUACGUAUAUUGAACCUAAAUCUUAUAAGUUUAAGCUUUUAGGAAAAUUAGUAAUUCAACAUUCUAUACAUAAAAUUAUUUGAUGUCCAAUCAAUUGAUUCACCUACCUAUCAAUUAAUAUACUUUUAAAUAAAAUAUAUUUCAAUCCAUUACACAAAUAUAAUUAAAACAAAAUACUAUAGUAAUGUGAGUAUGUGAUAAAUAAAUAAAAUAAAAAUAAUCACGUGUUACAUGUAAACUAUAUUCAAAGGAAAAACCCACUAUUAAACAAUCCAUUGUAUAAUGAUCAAUUACAAAGACCAAGUAUUACCAAACUUAAAAGUAUCUAAAUCAUACUCACUUUGCACAUUUUCUUUAUACUUGGAUCCUUUAAACACAUUUAUCCCAAUGUGGAUGCAUCUUGAGUUCUAAUCAAGGAAAUCAACCUUUGAGUAAAAUUUUCAUCAAGUUAAAGUCUCUUUAUAUCAUUGAGAACCAUAUCAAGAUUUCUUUUUGUUGGUUGCUUUCAAAGUCCCACUAGAAUUAGAAUGAACAUUUUAUAAAUUCUAGGACUUUAACAUAUGAAUUCUUCAAUGAGUCAAUCAAAUAUUAAAUUUUAUCUCCAUAGAUGGACCUCAAUGAAUUUUUCAACAAAUUAAAGGUGUUAACACUAAUUUCAUAUUAGAAAAAAAAAAAAAAUCAUGUGACACAUAUUGAUAUAUAUAUAUAUAUAUAUAUAUAUAUAUAUAUAGGUGUUGUCUGGGAUAAAUAGAUUGAAUUCAUGAGAAAAUUAUUCUUAAUUUUGUAAAAAUUAUAUAUAUAAGAAAGUUUUUAGACUUACUAAAACACAUUACUAAUCAAGUGGUAAUAUUUAUAUCUCAUUAUUUUGUAAUCAAGUCUCAUUCAUUUGUAUCACAUAUGAGUCCUAUUAUUUUAUACCUUACUCUUAUUAUAUUGUACUUUGAUCUUAUUUGUUUAUACAUCGAUUUCAUUUCUUUAUAUGUUCAUCAUAUUUAUUUAUAUCUCGAUCUUAAUUAUUUAUAUCUUUCAAUAGUUUAGAUUUCAAUACAUAUUUUUAAAUAUUUUAAUUGGAAAUUCAAUAUCUUACUAUUUUUCUAAAUAGCUACCUAUAAUCCUUUGUAGACUCAAAAUUCACUUCAAGCCAUCAAAAAAAUCGACCUCUCUUUGUAAGUUGCUAUACUCAUUGCUAAACUAUAAUUCCAAAAAUAGCAGAACUUUUCAUACUUAUUCUAGGCAAUUAGAGUCGAGAUGUUCCAGGCAUAUACCAUUGUCUUUCAAGAUUUGAAAGAAAUGUUACGAUUUCAGCAUGAAAUAAUGCAUGUCGAUUAACAAUAUUGCUCAGAUUCUUUAGGCAAAGGUCCCAGCCUAGAGAUUGAUAAUGUUUCUUUGAAGCAAAAUGACAAAAUGGAAUAACACAAGAAAGCCAGAACCAAUUAAGUGUCCACAGACAAAAAAAUUUAUUUAUUUAUUUUCUGAACCACCCCUGAAAUUGACACCUCCCAUACAGUCUGCAUUUCUGUGGCACUAUUUCCCUUAUUCCUAACCAUAAAUCUGCUGCCAUCUCAAUAAUUCACAUCCUUAUCCACUCCUUAUCUAGGGUUGUAACACUUUUUUCAAAAAGAUUUUUUUUUUUUUUUUUCUAAGGGGUGGAUAAGGGUCCUGAGACAAGCUGUGGAAUAAUUAUAAACCCACUUGGGUAAUGGUUUCAUUGUCAGGGUAAUACUAUUUAAGGUGAAAAUCAGCUGGGUCUAUCAUUCUUGUUUCCAUAUGACUGUUUCCAAGGAUAACUCAACCUUCAAAUCCAUCGAGCAGUCAUAUAAAAAUACACGCAGAUUUCAUAUUUUGAAGCUUGUCCUGUGUUCAGAUCGGAUAACUCACUCAUAUGCCUAAUCACCAAUCGCCAACUUGAGCGUAAAAAAAGCGUGGGGCGAUAUUAUUUGUAUAUGGGUUUGACUGUUUGAGAGAGAAAGGUGGGGUGUCCCUUGGAGGAGUCCAAAGGCCAUUUUUGAACCUGCCUUUGAUUAUCGCCAUGGCAAAUCAACAGCUUGUAGUGUAUAUAUAUAUAUAUAUAUAUAUUAAUGGAGACCAAGACUCAAAUAGAGAGAGAGACGCGGGAUGCGAUAAAGAGAACAGUAUAGCCAAGAGUAUAUAAGCAUUUCUAUUGCUGUAAUGGUGAUUCAGAGACUGGAAAUGUGUAUAUCACUGCUGAAAAUGGCAGUAGAGUUUGUGCUUGUUUUCGCGGAGGCAGUCGGGCUAGUCAUCAACCACAAUGCCACGCCGCUUUUGGCAAACUCAGCCUCAGUUGGCAAUGAUGUUUCUGUCCCUUUUAUCGGUUUUCUUCUUUGAAUUCUUCGUCUUGUAGUUUCCUUCCUUAGCAGAAUGCCCAUUGGCCAUUGUAUACGUUGAGGUUUCAUUUUUGUCUUGAUAGAUUUUGCCUUGGAAAGUGUCUGUACUACCAGCUAAAAGAUGUGAAUGUUUGAUAGGAGAGAGUACAUAUAACAUCUUUGUAAACUUCGAUUAAUUUUGGUUCUGGGUGAGCUUCAUCUUCUGCAAAUUCAUUUGCUGGUAGCUUUGGAAAUGAAUCUUCAGUGGUUUGGGUGGUGAUUAUUUGCUUGCUUCACACGAUUUUAUGUGUUGUUCCUUUGGUAAUAAUCUUGUUGGAUGGAUCAAGGAGGAGCGAUGAUCAGGAAAAUAAAGUCGGGAGAAAGAAAAGAUAUAAUGAUGAUUAAGAAAGGCUUUAAUAUACUUGCAAGAUCAGGAAAAAAUAUUUCUUGGUUAAUCAAUUAUUUUCUUGCUUGAUAUGGGUUUGAUACUUUUUGUCAAUUGGUGAUCAUUCUGGGAAGAUCAGGAAGAAGAAAAUGGGGUCUAGAUGAAGAAAAGCUAUAAUGGUGAUUAUUAAUUGAAAUCAGAUGAAAUAAAAGUCUGUUUCCAUCAUUCUUAAUAGGGUUUCAUAGUCCCCGCAGGACUUUAGUACUCAUCAAACUCAUAAAUUUUGAACAACUUUGAGCUAACCUUCUGCAUUAAUUUGGUGCAUCUGCGCAGUUGCAGAGUAUGAACACCCACAAAAUCUUAAUAUGAAUCUUUUGGGGCAAUAGCUUCUAUAUAUGAUGGAUGAUAAGAACAAAGCAAAUCUUGGGUUCUCCAUGGCCACGAUCAUUUAUCCGCCAUAUAAAAUGCAGAUUUUCCUAACACCAACCCCUUAUUUUAAUAAAGUCAAGUUAUUUUAAGGCCCCCAUUAUUAGACAUGCCCUAGAAGCAUUGGGUCUGUGAUUAAAAAAAUGUAGUAAUAUCAUUUAAAAUAUCUAACACUGAAAUUUUGAUAAUUUUGAAUGUCAUAGUGUGGAUUUGAAGAAAGAAAUCGUAUCCAAGAUCUCUUCCUUUUCCUGGGAAACAUUAGUCUUGGUCAAUUAUGAACUGUUACACGUUACCUAUCAUGAUCAUAUUUAUAUUAGCUUUGAUUUCUAUGGGGGUUAUAAUUUAUUUGUAUGCUAAUCAUAGAGGUGAUACAUGUGAUCCACAUGUCAUAUUUGGACUUGGAACCAAUCAUUGGAUUCCUUUGAUGAACUGGCAAUGGAAGAAUACUAAUUGCUCCGGUCCCUUUCUUUUUUCAACGUAGGAUGAUCAGGUCCUUUGAUCUCUUCCACACCCACUGGCUGUUUUUCUUUGUUCCUUUUUCAAUCAUCCAUAGCUGAAAAGCCUUGAUGCCCUCCUUGACUUUCCCAAGAUAAAACACCUUAUCUUCACUUUCUUUCUUUUCCCUUUAAAUUUGAUUUUAGAUCUGAAAUCCAGGGCUUAUGACCCUGUAGAAGAAAGACAGAUAUGAAGCUUGGGAUGAUUUGAACUUCAGUUUGAUUUUCUGCACACUGUUUAAAACUCCUGAAAUAUAGUUGUAUAUUGCAAUACAUUUAUAAUUGAUACAACUGAACCAUGAUGUUUCUAUUAGUAAAAAUUUCUUUGAAUCAAUCCACAGUUCAAAGUACCAAUUUCAAUUGAAACUUUUUUCUUUUCCUGCUUAUUCAAUUGUUUCGUUUUCCACAUAAUGGUAUGACAACAUCAAGAAUACUUCUCAGCAAUUGCCUGCAGGUGAACCCAAAGCUCUUUUGGCUGAGACAUCAUGACCAUGUGAUCAGAUCCUUUAAUCUCUUUAACAGCAUCAGGUGGGUUUUCUUCGAUCAUCCAGAGUUGAAAAUCCUUUUUCGCCAGCUUGUCUUCCUCAGAAAUAAUAAAGACACGUUUAACCGAGGCAUAUUUCUUCGACAACAUGAGAUCCUUUGACAUGUCUUCUUCACUGAACAAGCGUAAGGGUCUCAUCAACAUAGUCCCUAGUGCCAAGUCCUGGAAAAUUUGUGCCCAAAAUGAUAUAACAACAACAAUGAAAAGUCUCAUGAUUUUGGCUGUAAGGCCUGAAUUAAUGAAGUUCUCACCUCAGUUGGGCUCAACUGAUACACAUUCAGUGAUGAGAACAAGGGGCCAAAGGUGAAAGUGGUGGGAGGAUUGUUGGGGCCAUUAUCAUAUGUGAACUGGCUGUCUAGUAGAGGACCUUGUCUCCUGAGUGACUUCAAUAAGAAGUAGAAACCAGGCUAAAAGUCAGAAACAGGGGAAGCCUUCCCCUCUUAAUCAACAAGUAAAUUUCUGUAAAAGAAAAAUAGUAUGUAUGAAGUACCUCUUGAUUGAGAGUGGAAAUGUUGAGAGUGGGACCAGGCAUUGAGGCAGUAACAAAAACAGCUACAGAAACCUUUUCUGGGAACUUCUCCAUGGCCUGAGAAAUGGCCAACCCACCCAAGCUGUGUCCAACGAGAACCACCCUUUCAUCUGCAGGGAGUGACUCCAUGAAGUCCCUCAGUGGCUGGAAAUACUCAGAAAUAGAUCGCAGAUCACCCACUUGUUUUGGGUUAAUUCCAGAAGCAGCCAAGUCCAGAGCAGUGACUUUGUGGCCAGAUGAUUUUAGUAGUGCCACAAUCUUGUACCAAGACCAGGCACCAUGGCAAGACCCAUGAACUAGAACAUAGUGCUUGACGGGAUUAGCCUGUCUCCCCUCUGAUGCCAUUGAAUACACUGAAGAAACAAGAAAAAUCAGAAAGGAAACUAAAAUCGUAUGCUUCUUCCUUUCCUGCGUACUCCUUUCCUGUUACAGAGAUGGUCAGCACCCAAGCAUUUUAAAGGGCACAAUUGGCUUUCACUACAACUACUAAUCUAAUGGAUUAAAAUUUUUCCUGUGAAAUUGACUCUAGAAAUAAAAUAAGGAUUAAGGAUUCAAGAAUAUGUACACAUAGACUGCCAGGGUUUAAAAGAUGACACAUGCACCUGCGUCACACUCUUUUUCAAUGAUAAAGAAGUUAUGCAAAGGAAGAAAGAAUGAAAUAUACAGAGUCUAGUAGUUAACUCCUCCCCUUGAAUUCUUCUGUUGCCCGGAUUGGUUUGUAACUGCAAACAUUUUCUUUUCCCAAUGUGAUCUGUGGAUUGAGUUCUGAUCUCAAUUUGUUUUUGGCAUUUUUGGUUUUGCUUCUGCAAAUCUUGAGAUGUAUCUUUCAAUUAAUAUAAGUAAGUUAUGCAGUAAAGGUUUUUGGACAUAUAAAAUGUUAGCCAAACCUUUCCCAUGGCGGGUUGAAGGUACUUUGGGGUAGGCUUGGUCACGCUUGAUACCUCAAUCGGACUGAAACAUGAUGUUUUCACCCAUUUGAAUUGGUCAAAGCUGUGUUGACUGGCAUGAUUCCUUUAAUAAAGAAGUUGUUUUUGGAUUAAGGCCUACAACACCAAUUUCACUUAAAUACAUCUAUUUAAUAAUUAUGUAUUAACAUAAUUAUAAUCAAUUGAGUCGAAAACAAUUAAAUUAAAAAGUUAAUUAUAUUGACUUAAAUAAAAUCUGACUCAACCAGAUUAUUAAAUAAAUUACUCAACUUAUUACAUGUUUAAUAAUUAAGUCGUAUUUGGGUUUAUACUUUUAACUCAAUUAUUAUUCAUGUUAUAUUUGUGUUGACUUAUUAAGUCACAGUAUCUAAAUUUAAUUUGAUAUGACAUGAACACUACCCACCAACAUUAAUUGUAUCCCCUGUUUUAAGUUCCGGUGGCAUCAUGAGUUUGGCCUCUGUUUUGAGUGUUGAAUUAACCUUUCCCAUGGUUGUCAAGUUCUUCAUAAAUUAUUGGUGAUUGUAAUAAUUUCCUCAUAAAUUAAUGGCGCUAUAUGCUUCUUUAGGAUCCAUUGAUCUUACUAAUUCUCUUCCUGGUAUGGGAAGAAAAUGACUCUUCCAUUAAUGCAGCAUGCAUUGCUACUUAUUUAUCAAGCAAAUUACAUUAUUAUUUUCACACCAAACCUCCAAAUUCAUCAUGUACUUAUCCUAUAUACUACAUGGUGAACUUUAGAGAGCUAAAACAAGCUCUUCUUGAUUAAAGAUAGAUAAUGUCCUAUUGACCUUUUUACUUUGAUGCCUUGAAAUGAGAAAUUUGGAUGUUUUCUACAUCAAGCUUCUUGAAAUUAUUGUGCUUUCUCGUAGUAAAGAAUUUUCCCAAGUUGUGUACUUUGGCUUUUCCCCCUUUGUCAUCUCCUCCAAGGGUUGCACCCAAACACGGUGUUCGGGAUUGAAAAAGAACGGAAUCAAAAACCUUUCCCUCUCUGAAUUCACCAUCACCCUAUGCUCCACACUCUCAUAAGUAUCGUUGCUCCAUACCUGAUUUAAUAUCAAGAUAAUUAGACAAAUGGGUGUGUAAAAUUCCUUGAGCCAAACUGUACUGAUAAGCAAGUACUAAAGACGAUACAGGCUUUGAGAGUUAAAGGUCGUUCUUUCUAUAAAUCAAGGCAAUAAGUAUAUAUACAACAUACAACAUAGUUGCUGUUACAGGCUUACCAAAUUAAUUCCACAAUAAAGGAAACUAUACAUGGUUGGUUACCAAAACAAAAAUAGGAGAUUAGCUAUACAUAUUACUAAAAUAUAGGAUUUGAUAAAGAUUGAAGUGGACUUUCAAAUGAACCAUUUUCCUUAUCAUGACCCCUCAAGAUAGACUUCGAUUGAAUGCCUAGCUUGACGCACAAGUGUUGUAGAUGAGCUAAGGAUUGUGGCUUUGUUAAGGCAUCAACAAGUUGAUCCGCGAAAGCAAAAUGAGGCACGCGAAAAGUGUAAUCUUGAACUCACAAAAUGAAAAUAAAUAGCAAUAUGCUUCAUCCAAAAUGUAAAAUUAGGUUGGCGCAUAAGUAGGUGGUACCGACAUUAUCACAAUAGAUUGGCAUGGGUUUGGGAACUGAAAUACCCAACUCAAGUAAUAGGGAGUUAAGCCAAAGAAGUUUGGAAGAAGUUGUAGCUACAACAUGAUACUCUACCUCAGUUGAGGAACGGGCAACAAAUGUUGCUUCUUUGAACUCCAAGAAAUGACAUUAUGACCUAAAAACACAACAUGAGCACUAGUUAAAGUACGAUCAUCACGAUCACCAAUCCAAUCUACAUCGGAGAAGGCAUGAAGGCUAAGAGGGGAUCCUUUUCGAAGAAACAAACAAUGAUGCGUUGUACCUUUAAGAUAACGGAGAAGAUGUUUGAGUGCCAACCAGUGAGUGGUAGUAAGUCUAUGCAUGAAUUGAGAGAGUUUAUUGAUUGAGAAAGCAAUGUUUGGUUGAGUGAAGAAGAGGUACCGAAGACCACCAACAAUAGAUCGAUACUUAGUCGAAUUGGUCAAGGAUGUGCCAUCCACAAGGCUAGGUAUCUGAGAUGUUGACAUAGGAGUUGUGAAUGACUUGGAAUCCAUCAUUUUUGUGUGCUCCAAAAGAUCUAAAACAUAUUUGUGUUGAGAAAGAAAGAGACCAAAUGAGCUUGGAAUAACUUCAACCCCUAAAAAAUAAGAGGCAACACCUAAAUCUUUAAUGGAGAACCGAGUAGCAAGUGUGUGAACAAAAUGAUUGAGAGUACCAUCAUCAUUGCUAGUAACAAUAAUAUCAUCAACAUACACAAGUAGGAAAAUGGUAAAUAGAGACUUCUUAUGGAUGGACAAUGAAGUGUCAAAUUUGGGGUAGAAACUGCUUCACAAACCCUUGAUGGAGUAGAAACUGCUUCAGUUCUUGAUACAAGGCACAUGGUGCUUGUUUGAGGCUAUAAAUAGCUUUCUUAAGAUGACACACAUGGCUUGGAAACUAAGGAUCAACAAACCUUGGUGGUUGAGCCAUAAACACAUUUUUGGCAAAAGUCCCAUGAAGAAAAAGCAUUGUUCACAUCAAGUUGACAAAGUGACCAAUUGAAGGAAAAUGCAAGACUAAGAAUGAGUAGACCAGUAGUAGGUUUCACAACCGGGCUGAAUGUCUUAGCAUAGUCAAUACCAGGGAGUUGAUGAAAACCCUUGGCGACAAGAGGAGCCUUGUAUUGAGCAAUAGAGCCAUCAGGAUUGCGUUUGAUUCGGAAAAUCCAUUUGCAACCAACUAGAUUCUGUGACUUAGUAGAAGGAUUCAACUCCCAUGUGCCAUUAUGAAGAAGAGCAUCAAAUUCUUCAAACAUAGCUUAACACCACUCAAGAAGCUUUAAAGUUUGGGUAACAUAGGCAGGUGCAACAUCAGGAGUGGUAGAGACAAAAGCAUACUUGGUGGAUGGUUUGAAGACAUUAUUCUUGGAUCUUGUAACCAUGGGAUGGGUGUUGAGGGUAGGGGGUCGAGUGGGUGGGAUGGGGGAAGGGGUAGGAUGUGGGGUUGAAAGCAAGAUUGGGCUUGGAGGGAAACUAUGUUGGGAUUGUGUAGUCUCAGCAUUGGGGGGUAAUAUAAUUGACUGGCCAGCAAGAGUGGUAUCAUGAAUGGUCGAAUGCUUAACUGGAGUGGUACCUAAGAUUGUAUUGUCCUGUGAUGAGGGAAUUGAUACGAGAGGGAAUGGAAUAGAUGGGACUAUGGUGGGUGGAGGUUUCUCGGCAGUUGAAGAAAAGAGGACCAUUAUCUCAACAAAGGUGACAUGAUGAGAGGUGAAUAACUUGUGGGAAACUCGAUCAAGGCAAAGGUAUGCACUUUGUGUAAGAGAGUAACCUAAGAAGACACAUGGACGAGAUUUGGAUUGAAGUUUGUGGUCAUUAUAUGGGAGUAACUAAGGAUAACAAAGACAACCAAACAUUCAUAAUUUGUCAAGAAUUAGGUUUGUGAUUGAAUAAUUUCUCAUAGGAAGAGAGGAAUGAGAGGUUUGGUUUAAGCAUUCGAUUAAUAAGAUAGACUAUAGCUUAAAAGGCAAAGGGCCAAAAAGAAGUAGGAAUGGAUGCAUGAUGGAAAAGGAUGAGUCUGGUUUUGACAAUGUGUCUAUGAUGACGUUUGGAGUAACCAUUAUGCUUAGGAGUAUGAGGUGGGGUGGUGAGAUGAGUAAUGCUAGCAAGAGCAAAAUAAUCUUUUAACGCUAGAAAUUCACCACUAUUGUCAUAAUAGAUUUGAAUUAUUUUGGAACUGAAGUAGUUUUCAACUAGAGCUUUAAAUCGAACAAAAACAUCAUAGACAUUAGAUUUCUUUUGAAGUGGAUAUAACCAGACAUAUUUGGUGAAGUGAUCGACAAAGAUAACAUAGUAUUUAAAGUUAUCAUUUGAUACAAUGGGAGAACUCCAAACAUUUGAGUAAAUAGUUUGUAAAUGAGAUGAACUUGUAAUAGAUGAUGUAGAGAAAGGUAGUUUAUGACUUUUAUUGCACUUACAAGAAUUACAAGCAAAAGUAGAAAUAUCAUUAGAUGAUAAAGAAUGACUCUUAGAGGAAACUAAAUAUUGAAGAACUUUGGAAGAGGGAUGACCAAGUCGAUGAUGCCAAUUUGGAAGUGAAGUCUUAACAUUGGAAAAUACAAUCAAAGGUUUUUUCGUAGUAGGAGAAUUCAACCAUACAUAAAAACCACCACUAUAGAAUAUAGAAUAUAAUUUUAUAUUUAAUUAAUUUUGCAUUUAAAUAAUAUAUGAUAAAGAUAUUACUUUUAUAUUUAAAUAAUAUAAGAUGGUAAUGAGAUAAAAAUGAAUGUUUUUAUGGUUAUAGGAAUAAAGAAAAAUAAAAUAAAAAAGAUUUCAAUUACUUAAUUAAUAGUAAUCCUAAUUUAAUUUCAAUUAAUAUUAAUCUUAUUUAUAUCUUUCCUUUCUUGAAUAUACCAUAAAAAGAUUUAAGUAGUAAAUAAAUACAUGGGUAGAAGGAUACAUCCAGUCAUGAGGUGUACCUAUAUAUUAAUUUUAUAUUUAAAUAUUAUAGAAUAUAAUUUUAUAUUUAAUUAAUUUUGCAUUUAAAUAAUAUAUGAUAAAGAUAUUAGUUUUAUAUUUAAAUAAUAUAAGAUGGUAAUAAGAUAAAAAUGAAUGUUUUAUGGUUAUAGGAAUAAAGAAAAAUAAAAUAAAAAAGAUUUCAAUUACUAAAUCAAUAGUAAUCCUAAUUUAAUUCCAAUUAAUAUUAAUAUUAUUUAUAUCUUUCCUUUCUUGAAUAUACCAUAAAAAGAUUUAAGUAGUAAUCUGGGAUAGAUAUUAAUUUUAUAUUUAAGAAAUAUAGGAUAUAAUGUAGAGAAUAGAGAUACACAAACAUAUUUUAUAUUUAAGUAGUAAUCUUCAUGAGCUUUACACAAACAAAAAACUUAGAUGUUUACAUCAUCUAGAAGCCCCACUUCGCCUCUCUCUCAGCCCUCAGCCCUCAGGCUUAAGAAGUUGUCAUGAGAAACCUAACACAAACCUUUCUUAUAAUUAUUGUUCAUAGUCGUAGCUACCAAGAAUUCCAAGUUAGGAAGAAAAAAAGAAUCAUAAAUACAGCAAAAAUAACUUCCACUACAUGCGGCAGCAGGGGUACCAAAUUAGGGAAAUUAAGAAGUAAACCAUGCCCAAUCAAUUGCUGGGAAAUAUUAUUUGGAUAUCAAAUUAGGGAAGCUAUUAAGUGUGGUUUUUGUAGUGUUAAAUCAGAGAGAAAUUUAAUUAUAUUAUGAAUUUCAAAUUUAAUUAUUCUAAGAACAAUGAAUUACUCUAAUAGAAUUUAAUGUAUAAAAACAUUUCAAACACUCGCAACAUAUAUCAUUUUCAUUUUUUCCAAAAGCACCAAAACCCUAUAACAAUGAAAAUAAACCCAAUAACAAUGGAAAUAAACCAAAUAACAAUGGAAUCUCAAACCUAAUCACAAACAUUUCCAAAAUACCAACUAACAAAACCCAAAAAAAAAAAAAAAUUCCCAAAACUCACCAAAACCUAGAGAGAUGAUUUUCACGGGAGUUUCUUGGAGGUGGCUUCAGCUUUACCGACCAUAGCUUCCAUGGGGCUUCUUCAGCAUGGCUUCCAUAAGCUUUUUUUGACAAUAGCUUCCUCCAAGCAAUGGGGGUUGUGGGUAGGUUUUGUGGGUUUUAUGGCCGUGGGUUUUGGAGAGGAAGAGAAAAUGGGUUGGCAGGAGAGAGAAAGAAAGGCUUUAUAUUCGAUUAGGAAAGUGAUGUGGCCGUGGGGUAUACCCACAUGGUUAAAAGAAAGACAUUUUUCCAUUAGAAAAAAAUGUCUCAUGGCUUUUUUUAUUGUUAUUGUUAUACCCAAAAAAAAUAAUUUAAUUUUAUUGUUAUACCCUAAAAUUUUUUUAUUGUUAUUGUUAUUGUUCUGUGUUCAGAACUAUUAAUUUAAAAAGUUUUUCAAGUUUUAAAAUUAUCAAAUUUUUAAAAUUUACAAUUAUUUUAAAAUUUUAAAUUUACAAUUAUUUUUAAAAUUUUAAAUUUAAAUUAAUUUUGAAAGUUCAAUGUUUUACUCAAAGUGUUAUUCUAAAAUUUUUAUUAAGUUUUAUCAAGUUUUUUAAGUUUUAAAAUUAUCAAGUUUAAAAUUUAAAAAUUUUAUAUAAAUACAAAGAAUAAUUAAAAAUAAAAUAUAACAUAUAAAUGUUAUUUUUUAAAACAUAUUUAAAAACAUAAAAAAUAUAUAUUAAGAAUAUUUUAGGUUUCUAAAUCAACUUUUAUUUUAAAAUACAUCGGCAAAAAAAUUUUUAAAAAUGUUUUAAAAAACCGUUUUUUGUAUAAUUGUUUAUGAAAAUGUCAAAAUACUUCACAAAUAAACCAGUUCGAGUCCCCUCAGGGCCUCGUGGGAUUAGUCGAGAUGUGCUUAAGCUGGUCCGGACAUCCACGGUUAUAAAUAAAAAAUAAAAAUAAAAAAAUAAAAAAUACUUCACAAAUAAAACUAUAAUUUAUUGGUAUUUUUGUGGGCCUUAGGUGUUAGGAAAUGUUAUAUGUGCAUCCUACUCCUACUCUGUCUUCAUUAUUUUCAGUCCCUUUAUAUCUUAUACCAAUCUACUAUUAUUUUAUCAUAUGGUAUCAGUUUUUCAUAUUUGAUGAUAUUAAUUUCUACCUUAUCCCAUAUGCUUGUAGCUUAAUUUCAUUAUACAUUUGGACAACAGAAUUUCAGACUUCCAUUUGGUACUAAAUAUAAUAAACAUAAACAGAGAAUGAUGCAUUUAAGAAUAUUUUUCCAUGAAUUUUAACUUUAUAAAUUUGUUAAUUUUACAAAUUUAAGAAUUAUAAAAGUUUAGAACUUUUAUUUUUAAUCAUAAACAGAGGAUGUUAUUUUUGUAGUUAUAAAUUGUUUUUGUAUUGCAAAAAUCAUAAAGAUUAAAUAAUAUUUUAUGAUUGAAAAUUAAAUAAAACUAUAAACAAUUUUACUAGUAAUUGUUCAUAGUAAAAUUUAGUUAUCAUGACUAUUGAUACUUUAAAUAUAAUAAGAAUUAUUUAUCAUAUAUAAAAUCAAAAUUGUUUUUUAAUUUGCUAACUCACUUGCAUUUAAACUUUUUAUCAAAUAAUAUCAAAUUGAACCAUCAUAUUUUUAAACUAAUUUAUUAAACUUUAUUUUGCUUCUUAUUAAAACAUUAAUUAUAACAAGGAAAUUAAAUAAUUUUAACUAAAGAAAAAUAGGUAACACACUAAUUUGUUUCUUAACUUAAAAAAAAAUAGUAAUAUAACUUUAAACUUUUUAUAAUUAAUAAGAACUAUUAUUAUUACUAUUAAUGAUAAUUUCUAUUUAUGAUAUAUAUAUAUAUAUAUAUAUAAGAUUUUCUAAAAAAUUAUAAUAGGUAACCCAAAAAUUGUUUAAAAUAAAUAAUAGACUUUGGUCACGAUUGUGUGAACCCCGUGGCCAUAGGUUCAAAAUAUUUAAAAAAAACUCUAUGCAUUGGUAAUGGUCAAGCGAAAUUUGUAACUACAGGUUCUUAUACAGUCACGGUCAAUCAAUGGCGUGACUAAAAGUCACGGUCAAUCAAUCACGUCACUCAAAGUCACAAAAUAUCUAUUUAGUGACGGUUUCACAAAAACCUGUGACUAAAACAUCUUUUUCAUUACACUUUUUGUCACGGAUGAUAAAAUAACCGUGACUAAAGUUAUUGGCGCCAAAAUUUCCCUCCAUAAAUUUACAAAUAGUCACAGUUUUAAAUAAAUCCGUGACUAAAAUACCUCUUAUUAAUCCUUUUGGUGACGGUUGAUAAAAUCACCGUGACUAAACAUGUUUUUUUUUUUUUCCAAAUUUGAUUUAACACAUAUAGUCACAACCUUACCCAAUAAUAUCUUUGGUGGGCCGUGACUAAAGAUUCGUCAUUAAAAAUCUAUUUUUUUGUAGUGCUAGUUGGUCCAUGCAAAAUUCUUGCCCCCGUACAUAGACCAUUCACAUAAAAACAAGUGGGUAAGAAUUCAAUGAAAACAUUAUUUGUUAAGCAAAAUUGGGAAAUUGAAAUCAAGUUCUUUUUCAUGGUGAGAACACAAGGGAUAUUAUUAAGUUGAAGUAGCUUUAAUGCAGUUGGGAGGGUGGUGGAUCCUGUGUGUGUGAUUUCUAGACCUUUACCAUCACCAAUAAUUAUGUCGUCUGGGCCAGCAUAGUCGGAAUGCAAAGAUAGAUUCUGAAGAUCAUUAGAUAUGUGGUGUGAGGCACCAAAAUCCAAGACCCAAUUUGGAGAGACAACAGUUGGUUGAGUUGUCGCAUGUGUUUGUGCAGAAGAGGGGCGGUAACUGUAAUUGGGUGGAACACCAUGAUGUUGACUGGCAAUAUAUCGAAAUGAUGGACAUCUUUUCGCUGAGUGUCCUUGAACACCACACAAUUGACAAGUCCCCUUAUAUGGAUGAGGGGUGUGAUUCGAAGUAUUCGAGGUAGUCAUUGGUUGAGGUUGUUUGGAUGUACGGUAUUGAGACGAAGAGUAAGGCUGUUGAUUGAAGAAUCGAUGCGAUUGUGGUUGUUUGGUAGCAGCAUUGGUGGAAGCAGGCAAUGAGACAUUCCAAGAAGAAUACUUGGCAGAUUCUCAUAAAGUUUGAGCCUCAAGAGGAAGCAAUUUCUCAUAAAGUUCCUCAAAGGAAAAACAGUUUCAUGGGCAUGGAUGGUUGAGUGUAAAUCUUUGUACAUCUCAGGCAAACCAUGAAAUAUUUGAAUAAUGAAGUCCUCAGGGUCUAUGGUGACGUUCAUGAGAUAGAGAACAUCAACGCAAAUUUUAACAAAUUGCAUAUACUGUGUUAUGGACUGAGUGCCUUUGGACAAGUUGUCGAGUUGAGUCCGAUAAUGAAUUAUUCGGCUUCGAGAUGCUUUAGCAUAGGUGUUGUGAAGUGUAGACCAAGCCUCAAGGGAGGUUGUGGCUGAUGCAAUGAAUGAGAAAAUUGUUGGACUAAGUGAUGAAACAAUAGCAUUAAGAAGAUGGUCUUGACGAAUCCAAUGGGUGUAAGCUGGGUUUGGGGUUGUAGUACCCUUUUCAGAAGUAAGAGUGCUAGAAGGACAUGGUAAAGUGCCAUUGACAUAUCCCAGUAAAUCAUAACCGACUAGGAGAGUGUAAAAUUGGAGUCUCCAUGCAGAAAAAUUGUGUUGAGUGAGUUUGAUGGGGGUUUGGGAAGAGGCGUUUAUGGCUAUGAGGUUUUGAGUAGUGUAUAUAGAGAUGUUGGCAGCAGUGUCGAUGGAGGAAACAAUUGAGGGGGAAGGGCUAGAGCCUUCGUUGGUUUAUGGGUUUGGUGAGGCAUGAGAAUCAACUAUGUGAGCUAUGGUUGCUCUGAUACCAUAAAGACGAUACAGGCUUUGAGAGUUAAAGAUUGUUCUUUCUAUAGAUCAAGGCAAGAAGUAUAUAUAUAGUAUACAACCUAGCGUUACAGACUUACCAAAUUAACUCCACAAUAAAGGGAACUAUACAUGGUUGGUUACCAAAACAAAUAUAGGAGAUUAGCUGUACAUAUUACUGAAAUAUAGAGACGAUCACGGAGGAUUUGAUAGAGAUUGAAGUUGACUUUCAAACGAACCAUUUUCCUUAUCAGGUACUAAUUCAAAGUUCUUGGGUGGUACUUGAAUUAUAUCCCCAACAUUGAUGAUAUAUGCAUCUAGGGUGGGCUUAACUCGAAUCCAUUCUCCAUCAGUUUUUUGCUUUACUUCCAACCCUCUGACAUCAUCCUGGGCAAGGAUGGUUAAGGCUUCGGCAUCCUUUUGGCAACGAACACCCAGAGCUAGGUGAGGGAUGGGGCAUGGUGGGUAGUGAUUGAGGCGGAUGAAGGUAGUUGAUUCUUCAAAGAAAAGAUUGAAUCUGUUUUCCGGCAAACCUAAGCUCAGAGAGAUGAGUCCCAACAUCUUGAAAGCUAGUUUUUCCAUUUCUCUAGCAUAUUCUUCACAUACCUCCCUGUAUAAAUUGGUUCAAUUAGAACCAAAAAACCAAGUAAAUCAUUGAAGUGACUCUGCCUUAGCUGGUGGAAUUUGUACCUUAAUUCAGGAGAGUACUGAGGCCACUGAUUGAUCAACUCUUUGAGCUCCUUGUCGUCAGGAUCAGGCGAAGCAGGGAUGAAGGCGGGGGAUGACACCACGAAAUCAAAGACUUCCUUCCAGUCCCUAACGUUCUUGGUAUGCUCAGUAUCAAAAUACCACAAAGGAUUCACCCCAUCUCUACUCACCUUCCUCUUCUCCUACAAUGGCAGAGCGAAGAACUUCCUCGCCGCAUCCUCAAUUUUCCGGCGAGACUCCGAGGGCAUCCCAUGGUUGAUGACUUGAAAGAAGCCUCGAUUCUUGGAUGCAUCAGCUAUUUGAGAAACAUGGUUAGAGGCAUUGGCGGAAGAGAGAUCAAUGAGUGGGAUGCCUUCAGCUUCGAUAACAACGAGCUUAGGCCCAUGUUGGGUGUCUUGGAUGAAGGCUGGAUCGACCUCUCCCAUGGCUGUGGUAGUGAUUAGAACCUAGAAAUGGUGGUUAUGCACUGGUAGCUGCAGGUUGAGAUUGUGAAGGGGACUUGGGCCACUUGGCAGGUGAUUUUUGUAGUGUAGUGGGGUUGGUUUGGUUCAUUGAACCUUGACAUAAUGACAUAAAUGGGAUACGUUUUAUAAGUUCAAGGAAUCAUGGUAUUUGGAAAAUAUGAAUGAGUUGAAAAUUUUAAAAAAUAGGUUUAUAGGAGUAUAUUUUAAGGAAAAUAAUUUUCAAAUCAUAUCAUGUAUAGGAUAGUGACUUUGUACAUGUUUGAGGGGAAUCAUGUCAAAGUGCACUAUUUGAAAAACAUGGCUAAAUUGUAAACUUAAAAAAGUGGUUUCAUGGAGAGUACAUUAUGAGAAAAAUAAUUUCCAAAUCAUGUACUAAAAUAAUAACUGUAUCCAUGCUUCCAAAACUACUAUUCAACAUAUUUUCAUCAUGUCACAUUUUCCUAUGACGUCAUUGCCCUCAUUUCUUAGAAGAAAAACCCUUUCUGUUCUACUUUACUUUACACUGUUUGUUCCUAUAACCCUUUCCUUUUUUUAAUUUUAAUUUUUUUAAAAAAAUAUUUCUCAUCUAUUUUCUCGAUUUUUAAAAUUCUAUUUAAUUAAAAAAAUUAGAAUUUUUUUUAAAGUACAAUUCAUUUAUUUAUUUUUUCAUUUUAUUUAAAUGUGAUGUAUAAUUAAUACAUUAACAUAAAUUAGUUUUUAAUAUAAAAAUAUAUUCAUCUAUAAUAAUUAAAAAUCUAAUAAAUAAAUAAAUAAAUAAAUAUUAGUAUUUUAAAUAAUAUUGAUUUCGUAUAUACAAUAUUUUAUUUUGUUUCAUUAUUAUAGAUCUCAUUUUCUAUAUUUUUUAUUUCUAAUUUUUCUUAUAGAAUUUUAAACCUAGAUUUUUUAAAAAUGAAAUUUAAAAAAACACUAGAAAUUAAAGUUUUUGUUUUCUUCAAAAUAAAAACAAAAAAAAAAUAAUAUACAAAAAAAAAAUAUUAGUUUACCUUUAAUUUCAUUCAACAAAAAAUUAGUAAUGAUAAUUUUUUAAGAGUAUUUAAUUUUAAAAGUAAUAUUUGAAGAUAGGUAAAAUAAAAAUUUUAAAAGUGUUUGUAUUAAAAUUUUGAAUAUAAAUUCACAACUCCCAUCAUAAUACAUUGAUAUUUAAAAUAAAAAAAACCCCUAAUGAUUUUUUUUUAUUAUAUUAAACAUGUAAAAAAAGUACAUUUUUGUUUAAUUAAAAAUUUAAACCAUUAAAAUUGUUUUUUUCUUUAAUAAAUAAUGUUUUUAAAGAGUACAUUAUACCUAUUUUUUUGGGCAUGUUAUUUAAUAAUUGCUACCAAAGUCAUAACAAUGACAAUAAAAAACUAAAUAUAAUAGUGCAUAUUUGCUAUCUAUAGUGGUACUUUUAGUUACUAACAUUAUUAUUUUUAAGUAAAAAUAAUGUUAUUAUUUCCUGACAUAUUUGAUGUAGAGGUUGAAGUGAUGACAGUGCUAAAUAAGUUAGUACAUCCUAUUAUCUACAGUGAUAUUUUUAGUUACUAUUAUUAUUAUUUUUAGGUAAAGACAAUGUUACUAUCUCUAGUGAUACAUUUGAUGUAUGGAUUGGAGUGGUGAUAGAUGAUGUAACAACUGUGUAUAUGGGGUCAAUCAAGUGUAAUUGUCCUCUUAUUUGUAUAGAUCGCAACCCACCUCCGACAGUGGUUGAAAAGUAGUCUUGGAAGCAUAUCACCAAAGGGACAUUUUGAAUAAUAAUUUGGGAAAAAGCGUUCAUCAGACAUAGCCUAAAAAGUAUAUCCCAACAUUGCUGUUUAUUUAUCAAGCAAAUUACAUUAUUAUUGUCACACCAAACCUCCAAAUUCAACAUGUACUUAGCCUAUAUACUGGAUGGUGAACGGGCUAAAACAAGCUCUUACUGAUUACAGAUAGAUACUGUCCUACUGACACUUUUACUCUGAUACCUUGAAAUGAGAAAUUUGGAGGUUUUCCACAUCAAGCUUCUUGAAAUUGCUGCGCCUUCUCGCAGAAAAGAACUUUCCCCAGUUGUAUGCUCUGUAAUUUUGCUUUUCCCCCUUCGUCAGCUCCUCCAAGGGCUUCACCCAAACAUGCUGCCCGGGAUUGAAAGAGAACGGAAUCGAAAACCUUUCCCUCUCUGAAUUCACAGUCACCCUGUGCUCCACACUUUCAUAAGUAUCAUUGCUCCAGGCCUGGUUUAAUAUCAGUAUAAUUAGCCAAAUGGGUGUAACUGAGCCAAACAGUACUGAUAAGCAUGUACUUAUAAUUCGAAGUUCUUGGGUGGUACCUGAAUUAUAUCCCCAACAUUGAUGAUAUAAGCAUCUGGGGUGGGCUUAACUCGAAUCCAUUCUCCAUCGGUUUUUCGCUUUACUUCCAACCCUCCGACAUCAUCCUGAGCAAGGAUGGUUAAGGCUCCGCCAUCCUUGUGGCGACCAACGCCCAGAGCUAGGUGAGGGAUGGGGCAAGGUGGGUAGUGUUUGAGGCGGAUGAAGUUCGUUGAUUCUUCAAAGAAAAGAUUGAAUCUGUUUUCCGGCAAACCUAAACUCAACGAGAUGAGUCCCAAUAGCUUGAAAGCUAAUUUUUCCAUUUCUCUAGCAUACUCUUCACAUACCUCCCUAUAUAAAUCAGUUCAAUUAGAACAAAAAAGAUAAGUAAUUCACUGUAGUUAUUGUGCCUUAGCUGGUGAAAUUUGUACCUUAAUUCAGGAGGGUACUGAGGCCACUGAUUGGUCAGCUCUUUGAGCUCCUUGUCGUCAGGAUCAGGCGAAACAGGGAUCACGGUGGGGGUUGACACCACGAAAUCAAAGACUUCCUUCCAGUCCCUAACGUUCUUGGUAAGCUCCGAAUCAAAAUACCCCAAAGGAUUCACCUCAUCUCUACUCACCUUCCUCUUCUCCUCCAAUGGCAGAGCGAAGAAUUUCCUCGCCGCACCCUCAAUUUUCCGGCGAGACUCCGAGGGCACCCCAUGGUUGAUGACUUGAAAGAAGCCCCAAUUCUUGGAUGCGUCAGCUAUUUGAGAAACAUGGUUGGAAGCAUUGGCGGAAGAGAGAUCAAUGAGGGGGAUGCCUUCAGCUUCGAUAACAGCGAGCUUAGGCCUAUGUUGGGUGUCUUGGAUGAAGGCUGGAUCGACCUCUCCCAUGGCUGUGGUAGUGGUUGGAAGUUAGAAAUGGGGGUUAAGCACUGGUGGCAGCAGGUGUAGAUGGUGACGGGAAAUUGGGCCACACGGCAGGUGGUUUUUGUAGUGUGGUGGGGUUGGUUUAGUACAUUGAACCUGGGCAUAAUUUGGGUUACUUUUUAAGGUUUGGUUGAGGGUGUGACCUCAUGGAUUGCGCAUAUAUUAAUGAUAAUUGGUCAAGUGAUACUGCAGUCCCAAAGGGAAUCUCUCUCAAUGAUUUUGCCGACAGCUCCCUCCACAUUAAAAUGUUUCAUCCGUAUUUGAAUUGGAGUCUAAUGCUCUGAUCAAAGAUACCUUUCGCUUAGUCGAUCAGUGUUUGAUUACUAAAUAAGAUGGUGUCACAAAUAUUUUUGAAUUCUAGGUCAAAGUUAACGAGUGCAAAGGUUAUCAAUUUGAUAAGAUAAAUUGUUUAGAAACACUUUUAAAAAUGAUUCUUGAAAAAAUAUUUUUUUAAGUUUAAAAACCAUUUUUAAAUUUAGAAUAAAGGUUUAUUUAAAAACUUAUAUUAUUAUAAACUUAUUUUUUAUAUUUUUAAAAAAUAAUUUUUAUAUAUAAUAUUUUAUUUUCAAUCAUUUUUUACAUUUUUUUUAAAAAGGUAAAACUACUAAAAAAAAUACUUAAAAUAAGUUAUCAACAAAUGUCUUAUUGUCAUGACAAUUUUCAAAAACAUGUUUUAGAAACAAUUGAAAAUCAAAGUAUUUUCAUAUUCCUUUAUUCCCAAAAACAAAAAAUUAUUCUUGGUAACGGUUCCAAAUGUAUCCUUCAUUUGUUUAUCUUAUUAUAUAAGUUUUAAAAUAAAAUACAAAAAAUAAUUUUCAAUGAUAAUUUGUUACGGUUUUAUCCAAAAUUUUUAUAUUUUUAAUCAAUUAAUUUAUUGAUACGUAUAUUUCUCAUGAGACCUUUUUCUCACUAAAAACAUUACUUUUUUAUAAGACAUUUUUAAUAAAUUAAUUUUGAUACGUAGAUUAAAAAUGUCUUAUAACAAUAUAAAUUAAUUAAAUCAUUAGUUGGCCAUUUGGUCUCAUGCUUACACAACGACUUCUCUCAUGGCUGCCUAACAUGAAUGAACAACUCUCUACAACAAGUAAGGUACACUUAAUUAAAAAAUUAUUUAAUUUAAAGAUGUUCGAGAAUGAGAAUUUCAAGUAGCACUUGAAUGAAUUUAAUGAGACCACAAAUUAAUUAAAUUCGAUGGUUAUUAAAUUUGAUGAUAAGAUUCAAGCCUUAUUAAUCCUCGGUUAAUUGCUUGAGAGUUGGAAAGACACAAUCACCUCAAUCAAUAGUUCAUCCAAAAAAUCAAAAUUGGUGUUUUCGAAUGUAGUAGACAUGAUUAUAACCGAGGAGAUCAAGAAGCAUGAAGAAGGUUUUUCAAAUUCAUGAUCAACAUUAAAUAUGGAGAGCAAAGCUAGAAAUCAUAAUAAAGGUAAUAGGCGUGAUAAAUCCAAAUCGAGGAAUGAUAGGUUGAAAUACAAAAAUUCCAUAAAUUCCUAACAUCAGACGAGUAAGAACAAUAUCAAAUGUUGGAAUUGUGAUUGGAGCUAAAAUAUGUGCUCAAAUGACAUAUAUUUGAUAUGAUUUAUAUAUCAUAAGACACUCAAAUCAUCUGACUCUACCCAAAUUGAUACUAAGGUCCUAGCCAUGAGUUUAACUUGUAUUUUGGAGAUUUAUCUCAGGUUUAAGAAAAGAAAAUGGUGUAAGGUGAAUCAAUUUAGAUUUUGAAAGAAUAAGAAGGGGUUAAAUGAGAAAAUGAACAAGUCAAGACUCAUGAAAUAUGAAGAAAGGAAAGACGAGGAUAUCGUGAGUUUGGGAGAUGAGGAAUGACCAUUAUCAUGAAGUAAGAAAUAAGGCAUACAAACAUAGAAAAUGAGGCAUGAAACAAAAUUCAUCAAGUUUGCAUGGAAAUUUGGGACUCAAAAUCUGGUAAUAACAUAUACUCUGACUUUAAAAUGAAAUUUGGAGCAUUUCCCAAAGUCCAUUUUAGGCAAGCUAUAUAUUGUUUUGAAGCAUGGGAAGUUAGGAAUUCAAAGCUUCAAACAAUGUCCAAAUUAGAGCUAAAUAAGGAAGUUAUGCACAUUUAAAGCAAACUAGUUAGAGAGAAAAACUGAGUUCGAAAUUGGUCACUUGGAUUUGAAAUGGUUUUUGUCCAUUUAAAACUCAAAGAAAUGAAAGAAAACUUUUGGCAUUGGCUAAGUUUGAAUCUCUUUACCUAUUUCAAACAAGAGGCAUACAUUUCAAAGUCAAAUGAACAUACAUGGGCAGUGAGUGAGUUCAAAAUUCACUAUGAAUUUUGAACUCACCUUGUUGAUUUCAAAUUGGACCAUUUAUUUCCCACUUAUGAGUUCAAAAUUGAUUUGAACUCACCCAAAUUUCGAACUCAACCAUUAGUGACCGAUUUUAGGCUCUGAGACAUGUCAAAACGAGUUUCAAAUGCCUUUAUCCAAUUCAAAACGCAUCAUACUCAUUUAGAACUCGUAAUUUUUGGGGUUUUUUUUAAAGGUUAUUUAUGACUUUUCGUUACAAUAAGUGGCCAAUGAGAGUGUACCACAUGUUAGGUCAUUGAAGUUACUAUAAAAACUCUUUUAGUUAUAGUGUUUAGGUGAUCUUCCAAGAGUUAGACAUUUCGUGGGGAAGAAUACGAGAACUUUUGGUUUAUUUAUUUUCUUCUUUAUUGAAUGUAUUGUUUUUAGUUUCCUUUAUUUCAAAUUAUGAAUUUUUACUUUAUUAUGGAUUGUGAAUGUGACAUUACCCCCAUGAGAGGAUAAAAAGCUAACUUGGGGCUUAAACAUAAAAACUAACGGUUAGAAAACUUAUAGGGACAUUAGGUAAAUUAUUAUAACAAUAAGAUUAAUUAAUGGUUGAGUUACAAUUUAUUAAUUUUUUAUCCUAUCAUUGUGAGUUAGUUUAGAGAAUAAUAUAGUAGGUGAUUAUUCGAUACUAGUGAUUCUUGGUAACUCUUGAUCAUUAGUAAUCCUGAUUUUUCUUAUAGUUAUCUGCCCCAAAACGAAGUUAGAAGGAGUAGGAAAUGUUAAAAAGCCAAACCUUAAAUUGAUAAUAAUUUCAUUCAUUUGAUGUGUUGACAAAUCAGAGGGUUGGCUGCAUCCAUCAACUCUCUUUGUGUUCGCCGUGAGCACUUGGGUGAAUGCACUAUAAGGUUAGAGUAUGCACAUUUCUUAACAGCAAUUGCUUUUAGGAGAAUUGGUAGUGCCUGAGGUCCUACAUGAUAGUUUUAAGAACUUGUUUUAAAAAGAAAAAUUAAGUUUUAGAUGUACUUUUGAGUUAUAGGGCUCAAGUUGAUUGCAAGCGGCCAAGAAUCCCAAAACCCUAAGAUCACUCUAGUUAAGAAACCUUUGUUAUCUCUAUUUCUAUACCUUAAGUUAUAUUGUGGAAAACCUCAAACUUAAAUCAAUUAAAUUAAAAAUCAAUAUUCGUUUUGUUAUUAAUUUAGUUUUUUUUUUUUUUUACUUAGUUUCACUUCAUAAAAGUUAAUUCACAUAUUGUUUUUCGCUUUAGGAUUUAAAUAAAAACAAUUCAUUUAUCCUAGUAUUGAAAAAUUCCAUAUGUUAGUCCCUAAGGAUGAUACCCAAAGAAUUACAAAAACCAUAGUGACUAUUUCUCUAGUUUUUUCUUAACCAAAGUUACUAUGUAAAAAGGCUUAGUAUUUUACAUAAGAGAGAAGAUUGAUCAAAUUGUGGAAAGAAGAGACAUUAUAAAAAUGAGUGUAAGGCUGCCAAGAAGGAUAAGGAUGGUGACAACAAGACCAAUGCAAAUGUUGUGUCAAAAGAAUUAGAUGAUGCUCUUAUCUGCUAUUUAGAGAGAACAACAUAAUCGUGGGUAUUAGAUUCAGGGGCAUCGUUCCAUGCUACCUCAAGUGGAGAAUUAUUUGAGAAUUAUGUCUCAGGUAAUCUAGGGAAGAAGUAUCUAGGUGAUGACCAAGCAUGUGUUGUUAUUGGCAUAAGUGAAGUGCAUAUCAAAUAUUUGAAUGGAUUUGUAUGGAAUUUGGACAAUGUGAGGCACAUUUCAAACCUGAGAGAUAAUUUUAUUUCCAUUGGGUAGUUAACAAAAGAUAGUUAUGUGACAACUUUUUUAGGUGACACAUGGAAUAUCUCAAAGGGAGCUAUUUGCCAUGGCAAGAAGAAUGAUACUCUUUACAUGACAAUGAAUGGUUGUGGGUUUAUUACAAUUGUUGAGAGCAAAGAAGAUUCGAAUUUAUGGCAUUAAAGGCUUGGUCACAUGAGCAAUGAGGGGUUGGAAAUUAUACACUCAAAUGGGAAGUUGUCAAGUUUGAAAUAAGUUGACAUUGACAUGUGUGAAAAUUGCAUACUUGGGAAACAAAGAAGGGUUAGCUUUAAGAAAGUUGGAAAAACUCCAAAAGAAGUAAAACUGAAGUUAGUUUAUACAAAUGUUUGGGGACUUGCUUCAAUUUCAUCUAUCGGUAGAAGAUUUUUUUUUGUGACCUUCAUUGAUGAUCAUUUGAGGAAAGUGUGGGUAUACUUUAUGAUACACAAAUGAGAAGUGUUUGAUGUAUUCAAGAGACGGAAAACAAUGGUGGAGAAUAAGACAUGUAUGAGAGUCAAGAAGUUACGGUUUGAUAAUGGUAGGGAGGAUGAAGAAUUUGAGUUCAAGAAGAUCUAUUAUGAAAAUGGAAUUAAAUUAGAGAAGACCGUGCCAAGGACACCUUACCAGAAUGGUAUAGCAUAAUGAAUGAACAAGACAUUGACUGAAAGAGAAAAAAAACGUGUAUACAAGCAAGGUUGUCAAAGGAGUUCUUGGCAAAAGCAAUCAACAAAACAACUUACUUGAUCACAAAAUACUGGAAAAAGUGUGAACUAAAAAAAAGGUAAAGUUUUCUCAUUUGAGGGUAUUUGGUUGUGUAUCAUAUAUAUAUAUAUAUAUGUGUGUGUGUGUGUGUGUGUGUGUGUGUGUGUGUGUGUGUGUGUGUGUAUACAUAUUAGUGAUCAUGACAUAAACAUACUUGAUGCUAAAUCACUAAAAUGUACUUUCUUAGCUAUGGUGUUGAUAAUUUUGGUUAUUAGUUUUGGGAUGACCAGAGUAAGAAAGUGAUUAGAAGUAAGGAUGUCGAUUAGAAGUAAGGAUGUCAUAUUUAAUGAGAAAGUUUUGUAUAUGUAGAGAGAUGCAACACAUUCCAAUAGUCUGGUACAACUUGAACCUAUUUACUUUGAGCCAAAUGAUGUCCCAUUGAAUAACAUGACAAAUAAGACAGGUCAUAAUCAUUAGAUUGAGGAAAAUACUGCAUAAGAUGUUAAUAUAUCACAAGAUCUAGUUUCAAUUCCUACUUUGAGGAGAUCUAACAAGCCACAUGUACCAAAUAGGAAGUAUUUAAAUUAUUUGCUACUAAUAGAUGGAGGUGAACCUAAAUGUUAUGAUGAGGCAUGUCAGAUGGAAGAUAAUAGAAAGUGGGAGCUUACGAUGAAAAAUGAAAUGAAGUCCCUUAUUCUUAACCAGACUUGGAAGCUAGUCGAGUUACCAAUGGGUAAGAAAGUUUUUCAUAAUAAGUGGGUGUAUUAAAUUAAGUAGGAGCAUGGUGGUUCUAAGAGAUAUAAGGCUAGAUUGGUGGUCAAAGGGUUUCAAUAGAAGAAAAAUGAUUGACUAUACAUACAUUUUCUCUCUAGUUGUGAAACUAACUAUUAUUCAAUAUGUUUUGAGUAUUGUAGCAAUAAAGAGUUUACAUAUAGAACGGUUAGAUGUGAAGAUAGCUUUCCUCUAUGGUGAUUUUGAUGGGGAAAUUAGUAUAUAUGCAACAACUAGAGGGUUUUGUAGUGAAGGGUAAAGAGAAUCUGGUGUGCAAAUUAACUAACAGUCUGUAUGAUUUAAAACAAGCCCCAAGACAAUGGUAUAGAAUAUUUGGUAGUUUCAUGCAAAAGAAUAGGCAUCUCAAGUGCAAUGCAGACCAUUGUUGUUACUUUAAGAGAGUUGGUUCUAUCUAUAUUAUUUUGUUACUUUAUGUUGAUGGCAUGUUAGUAGUUGACGCAAAUCUAGAUGAAAUUAACAAGUUGAAGAAAUAGUUGUCUAGUGAAUUUGAAAUGAAGGACUUGGGAGCAACAAAGUAGGUACUUGGGAUGAAGAUUAGCAAAGACAAAUAAACGAGCAUCUUAUGGUUAUCUUAGGCUAAGUAUAUAUACUCAUAAAGUAUUGCAAAUAUUCGACAUGAGUAAUGUAAGGCAAUUAGAACAUCAUUAGCAAAUCAUUUCAGGUUGUCUAAUUAAGCAUUGCCCAUGGGCAGAUGAGGAAAAAGACUUCAUGGCUAAGGUUUCAUAUGCCUUAGCCAUUGGAAGUUUGAUGUAUGUUAUGAUAUGCACGACACUAGACAUUGCCUAUGCAGUGGAAGUUGUGAGCAAAUUUAUGUCAAAUCUAAGUAAGUAGCAUUAUGAAGUAGUGAAAUGGAUGCUUAGGUACUUACAGGGUACUACAAAAAAAUGUCUAUGUUUCGAAAGGGGUGAGUUAAAAUUGCAAGGAUAUGUGGAUGUUGAUUUUGCCAAUGAGAUAGAUAAUUGGAAAAGUACUACAUGGUAUGUGCUCACUUUGGGUACUAUUGCUAUUAGUUUGAUUUCUCAAUUGUAGAAGAUUGUUAUUUUAUCUACAAUUGAAGUAAAAUAUGUGGCUAUCACAGAAGCUAGAAAAGAAAUGAUUUGGCUAUAGAGUUUGUUAGCAAAGUUAGGAUUCAAAUAAGAUAUGAAUGUUUUGCAUAGUAAUGGCCAAAGUGCAAUACAUUUGGCUAAGUAUUCAACAUUUCAUUCAAGAACUAAUUAUAUUACACUUCAUUAUCACUCCAUCAGGUUUUUGCUUGAAGAUAGGGUGUUAACAUUUGUGAAGAUACAAGGUAGCAAGAAUCCGGUUAACAUGUUAACUAAAAUAGUGAUAAUAGAAAAAUUGGAGUUGUGUGCAACUUCAAUUGGUCAAUAAUGAGAAUAGGUUGUUUGAGUGCACCCUCAUACCCAUUAAUCAUUGAAAGAGAAUGUUUACUUGUGUUUUAGUCUUCAAGUGGAAGAUUGUUGGAUUGUGAAGCUUGAAUCAGUUUUAUUAUGCCCCGAUCAACUUGUAGGGAUUGAAGGGCGCAAUGCUCUAUGGAGAAUUUAUUUAUUUAUUUUUAUGUAAUGAUUGACAGGUUUAAUCUUAUUAUAUAUUUUAACCCUUUUAUGUUUUAAGGUUUUGUUUUUUAAUGUGUAGUUGCAAUUGAGAGGUUUUUUGAGAGCUUUGCUAUUCCACUCCUUCUCAUCCCUUUUAUAGUGAAUUGUUGUAUGUUGGUGUACUCCAUUGAUGUAGGGAUCAAAUUGAUCGUAAAACCAUUUUUUUUUUUUUUUUGUUUCUAUUUAUACAUGAGUGUGUGCGUGAUUUGGUUAACAUCAGUUAUCUUAAUAAUUCUAUUCCUGGAAUAGGAAGAAAAUGAUGAUUCCAUUAAUGUAGCAUGCAUUGCUGCUUAUUUAUCAAGCAAAUUACAUUAUUAUUACACCAAACCUCCAAAUUCACCACGUACGUAUCGUAUAUACCGCAUGAUAAGAUUUAGAGAGGUAAAACAAGCGCUUAUUGUUUACGGAUAGAUAAUGUCCCACCGACCUUUUACUCUGAUACCUUGAAAUGAGAAAUUUGGAGGUUUUCCACACCAAGCUUCUUGAGAUUACCGCGCUUUCUCGUAGCGAAGAACUUUCCCCAGUUGUAUGCUCUAUACUUUGGUUUUUCCCCCUUCGUCAGCUCCUCCAAGGGCUGCACCCAAAGAUGGUGCGCGGGAUUGAAAAAGAACGGAAUCGAGAACCUUUCCCUCUCUGAAUUCAGUAUCACUCUGUGCUCCACACUCUCAUAAGUUUCGUUGCUCCAAACCUGGUUUAAUAUCAGUAUAAUUAGCCAAAUAGGUGCAAAAUUCGGUGAGCGAAAUAACUGAUAAGCAGGUGCUUAUAAUUCAAAGUUCUUGGGUGGUACCUGAAUUAUAUCCCCAACAUUGAUGAUUUAAGCAUCUGGGGUGGGCUUCACUCGAACCCAUUCUCCGUCGGUUUUUCGCUUUACUUCCAACCCUCCGACAUCAUCCUGGGCAAGGAUGGUUAAGGCUCCGGCAUCCUUGUGGUGACCAACGCCCAGAGCUAGGUGAGGGACAGGGCAAGGUGGGUAGUGAUUGAAGCGGACGAAGCUCGUUGAUUCUUCAAAGAAAAGAUUGAAUCUGUUUUCUGGCAAACCUAAGCUCAGAGAGAUGAGUCCCAUCAGCUUGAAAGCUAGUUUUUCCGUUUCUCUCGCAUAUUCUUCACAGACCUCCCUGUAUAAAUCAGUUCAAUUAGAACAAAACAAACUAAGUAAUUUACUGUAGUGACUGUGCCUUAGCUGGUGAAAUUUGUACCUUAAUUCAGGAGGGUACUGAGGCCACCGAUUGGUCAGCUCUAUGAGCUCCUUGUCCUCAGGAUCAUCCGAAGCAGGGCCGAAGGCGGGGGUUCUCACCACGAAAUCAAAGACUUCUUUCCAGUCCCUAACGUUCUUGGUAUGCUCAGUAUCAAAGUACCCAAAAGGAUUCACCUCAUCUCUACUCACCUUCCUCUUCUCCUCCACUGGCAGAGCGAAGAACGUCCUCGCGGCAUCCCAAAUUUUCCGGCGAGACUCCAAGGGCACCCCAUGGUUGAUGACUUGAAAAAAGCCCCAGUUCUUGCAUGCAUCAGCUAUUUGAGAAACAUGAUUGGAAGCAUUGGCGGAAGAGAGAUCAAUGAGGGGGAUGCCUUCAGCUUCGAUAACAGCGAGCUUAGGCCUAUGUUGGGCGUCUUGGAUGAAGGCUGGAUUGACCUCUCCCAUGGCUGUGGUAGUGAUUAGAACUUAGAAAUGGCAAUUAUGCUCUGGUAGCUGCAGGUGAAGAUGGUUACAGGACUUGGGCAACUCGGCAGGUGGUUUUUAUAGCAUAAUAGGGGUGUUGGUUUAAUACCUUGAACCUGGACAUAAUAUGGGUUACGUGUUAAGUUUUAGUUCGGGGUGUGAGCUCAUGGGUUGCGCAUAUGUUAAUGAGAUUUGGUCAAGUGAUACCUAGCUAUUUCCACGGCACCCUCAAUAUUCAAAUAUUUCAUCCGUACUCGAUUUGGAAGGUUGAUUAGUAAAUCUGAUGGUGUAAUGUCUAUUUUUGAAUUCAAUGCUAUAUAUUUAACGGUGAAGAUAAGAAAAAUAGAAGAGUUGAUAACGUUGAAGAAAAAAUGCCAAAGUUUUAAGAAGGUAGAGUUUUGAUGAGAAAUAGGUAAAAUUAAAAUUGCAUUAUAAUAAUAUAAAUUAAUUAAAUCGGUAAUCACCCAUUUAAUCUCAUUCUUAUCCACAAUUGUUGAUAGUUGAUCCUACAAAAUUCUAAAAAAAUCUUCCACAAAGACAAAUCACAAGAUGUUCAAUAACAUAUAUGCUUUUGCACCAAAAAUUGUAUAAGGGAAAAAAAAAUGAUGCACAAAAAAAAAAAAAAAAAAAUUCUAUAUCUAAUAUUAUUUCAUAGGAAAACUAACUAUAAUAAAUUUUAAAAGCAAAGAGCGUUUUACCAUAUCUAAAUAAUAGAUUAUUAAAUUCUUUAUUUUUCAAUUGGAUAUUUUUUUUUAAAUUAGAAACAUCUAUAUAAAAAUAAAAAUCACUUUAAAAAAAUUUUAAAUUUAAGAUAAUAAAUUUUUUAUAAUAUUUUAAUUCUUUUAAAUAAUUUUUAAAAUUAUUAUUUUUUCAAUAUAAAAUUUUAAGAGUUUUUGUAUUUUAUAUAUAAGUUACUAAUAUUCUCUUAUUUUAAACAUAGAAAAUAAAAAAUGUAACCAAAUGAAUUAGAAAAUAAAAAAGUUGAAUAAAAAUAGUCUAACCAUCUUAAACCUAAUAAUGUUUGACAGAAAACACUUAAAUAUACCUUGUAAUUUUCCUCACUGGUCAGCUCCUCCGAAGGCUUCACAUUCACAUGGUGCGCCAGUAAGAAGAAGAAUGGAAUCGAAACCCUUUCCUUCUUGUGUCGACCCACACUGAGAGCGAGCUCCAGCCACGAGCACGAUGGAUGGUGAUUGAGUCGGAUGAAGCAUUAGCCUUCAAAGAAUUCAUUCAACCGAUCCCCCACCAAGCCUAAGCUUAAGGAGAUGAGUUCCAAGAACUUGUAAGCUAAUUUUUCUAUUUCUCUAAUAUAGUUUUUCCAAAUUUUCCUGAAAAUAAAUCAUUAUAUAAAAUAUAUCAAUACUCAAAAUAAAUUUAAUAAAAUCUUGUCUUGCCUUUAUGUCUCUAGUUGAGUCUGUUUGGCUUCAAGCUGUGCAUUUAUGUCUCCGGUUGAGUUUGUUAGGCUUUGAGUCGCACCUUUACACCUCUAGUUGAAUAUGUUCGACUUUGAGCCAUGCCUUUACGUUUUGAGUUGAGUCUAUUCGGCUUUGAGCCACGCCUUUACAUUUUAGUUGAAUCUGUUCGAUUUCAAGCCGUGCAUUUACAUCUAUAAUUGAGUCUAUUCAGCUUCAAAUUGCAUCUUCACAUUUUUUGUUGAAUCUGUUCAGCUUCAAGCCACUCCUUUAUGUCUCUAAUUAAAUUUGUUUGGCUUUAAGUUUCACCUUUAUGCCUUUAAUUGAGUUUGUUCGGCUUUUAGUUGCGCUUUUACGUUUUGAGUUGAGACUAUUUGGCAUCGAGUUGCAACUUUAUGUUUCAAGUUGAAUUUGUUUAGCUUCAAAUCGUGCCUUUACAUCUCUAGUUGAGUUUGUUCGACUUCAAGUCAUGCCUUUAAGUCUCUAGUUGAGUUUUUUUAGCUUUGAGCUGCGCCUCUACAUCUCUAGUUGAAUUUGUUUGGCUUCGUAUCACAUCUUAUGUUUCGAAUUGAGUUUAUUCGACUUCGAGUUGUGCCUUUAUGUUUCUAGUUGAGUCUAUUCAGCUUCAAGCUGCACCUUUACUUUUUGAAUUGAGUUUGUUCGGCUAUGAGCAAUGCUUUUACAUUUCAAGUUAAGUCUGUUUGGCUUUGAGUUAAGCCUUUACGUCUCUAGUUAAGUCUAUUCAACUUCGAGCCGCAUCUUUCAUUUUUGAGUUGAGUGUGUUUGGCUUUGAACCACACCUCUAUGUUUCAAAUUAAGUCUAUUCAUCUUCAAGUCGCACUUUUAUGUCUUUAGUUAAGUUUGUUCAGCUUCGAGCAAUGCCUUUAGGUUUGAAGUUGAGCCUAUUUGACUUCAAGCCACACCUUUACAUCUCUAGUAGAGUUUGUUUGGCUUCAAGCUAUGCCUUUUUGUUUCGAGUUUAGUCUGUUCAGUUUUGAGCCAUGCCCUUACGUUUCAAGUUAAGCCUAUCCGGCUUCAAGUCGCGUCUUUACAUUUUGAGUUAAGACUAUUCGACUUCAAGCUAUGUCUUUACAUCUUUAGUUGAGUUUGUUCAACUUCAAGCUACGCCUUUACGUUUUGAGUUAAGUCUAUUCGGUUUCAAGUUGUGUCUUUAUGUUUUGAGUUGAGUCUGUUUGGCUUUAAGUCACACUUUUACGUUUUGAGUUGAGUCUCUUCAACUUUGAACUACACCUUUAUAUAUCCAGUUGAGUCUGUUCGAAUUUGAGUCACACCUUUGAGUUUUGAGUUUAGUCUGUUCGGCUUUGAGCCACACUUUUACAUCUCUUGUUGAGUCAUAUUUAGCUUCAUUCUACGCCUUUACAUUUCCAAUUGAGUUUAUUUAGCUUUGAGUUGUGCCUAUGUUUUAAAGUUUGUUCAAUUUCGAGCCACAUCUUUAGCCUUAUUAAGUUUGUUCAAGUUUAGUUGUGCCCUCACCCAUAUCCUUAGUUUUAAGUUUAUUCAGCUUCAAGCCAUGCGUUUGUCCUUGUUAAGUAAGUUCGGCUUCGAGCCACGUCUUAGUUUUGAAGUUGUUUAUCCUUGAGCCACACCUUCCUUUCUUUUUUAGUUCACUUAGGGUUUUCUCCUUCCUCGAGUUUAUUAGUGCAUUCGAGUUCAUUUUUCUUUAAGUUGAUCACUCUUUAUCUUUGUUGUCCUUGAAUUGUUCAUUGUGUCACAAUUCAGUGUUUUUCAUUGCAUAUAUACUCCCCACAUUGUCUAUAUUUUAUCCUGAUGAGUUUCUUUCCCAAUACGUGACCUCGAUCUUUGAGUUUAGCAUGCCAUGUGCUAAGACAAUUUCGAGUGCUCUUUUGUUCUUCAAUGCAAUUCACUUCAUACCAUUCAUCACUCAUGUUUCACUGUUUGUGUUCAUUUCAUUCGUGAUCUACAUCGGAGAGAGACAUAUUUGUUGGCCCUUUACUUUGUCCUAUAAUACAUAUUUUCACAUUUUUUUAUUUUCCUCUUGCCCCAUACUCAUUUUUGGUGCUCGUUUUGGAUCCUUCUUGUUUGAUCAUUCAUGGUCCCUUAUUGGUCCACGUUUACUUGACUCAUUAUUCAUUUUUUAGUCGCAUUUUAGAGGCCAUGUAGGAGGAAUUUUGAGUACAUGCAAGCUUAUUUUUUAGAGACCCUUAGUAGUUGGCUCAUAUGAGGACACGCCUCCUCACACUACUACAAAAAUCAUUUAUGGUGUCACUAUUUAUAGUGACACUUUUAAAAUAAUGACACCAUAUAGCUUAAAAUCCACAAAGGUGACACAUCAUAUAAAAAUUUUCAAUUAGGAUCAAUGAUAUUAAUUUUAGGUUUAUAAUGUCAGUUGCCAAAAAAUGACACCAUAUAAAAUAUUUUUUUUCUAAAUAUUAUAACUCAAUUGGCCCACUUUGAGAAUAAUGAUAGUAUAUAAAAAAAUCAUUGUUUCCACAUACCCACAAUCCAAAAAAAUUUCAUUCCAUAACCCUAACCAAAAUUUUUUUCUACCUCUUCUCACACCCAUAGUUAACACACAACUGUUCUUCUCUGCUUUGUGGACUCUCAGGUAACCCAAAAUCUCUUAGAUCUAUCAUUUUCAUUUAUUUUUUUAUUAAUGUCAAAAUCUUUAUGAACACAAUUGAUUUAUGUUUAUUGAUUUAAUAUAUUUGUAAUAUGGAUUGUGUAAAUAGUGUUUUUUUAUUGAGUUGUAGGAAAGUAAAAACUAGGUUUAACAUUCCACCAUAUCUUCUGGUUCAUUGUUAAACCCAUAAACCCCAAAAUGAAUGAAAAUAAGAAAAAUGAAUUAUUUUUAAAUAUCUUUUAUACUCAAGAUAAUAUAUAAACAUUUUACAAUACAAAAUUUUUUUUUGAUCUUGUAGGAAAUUUCCUUUGAUAGGAUUUUCUGUUUGUUUUCAAGGAAUAUUGUAGUAUAUUGUGAUGAAGAUAUUGAUUGGUGUUAUUUGAAAAAUAAUUUUUUAGAAAAUUAUUCUCAAUAUUAUCAUCUCCCACAAAAUGAAAAAUGAAAUAGUUUUCAUAUCAUAUUGGAGUCGGUUUGGAAUGUUGGAAUUAACAAUGAGAAAUUAAUUUUAUUUUUUAUUUAUUAAUGUAAAUGAAUUGUUUUUUUUUUAAAUUUAAAUAGGAAUGAAAAUUUUUAUAAUUAUAAAAAUGAUCAAAUAUUAUAUUUUGAUUUUUUUUUCUAUUCUUUUACAUGGUAUUAUGGUUAAUAUCUCAUCUUGUUCUAUAUAUAUUUUUUAUAUUCUUAAAAUAUGUUUUUUGCUUUUUGUUUUUACUUUCUUUUCUUAUUGUUUUUAUAUGUGUUGACCAAAAUUUAGAGUAAUUUGAGAUUGGCGAUAAAAUUUUCCUUUCAAGGUUAGAAAAUUUCUAUAAAAUCAUUUUAUUACAUAAUUUUUUCAAUUCCUUCCAUAAAACUCUUCCUUUUUCCUUUUUUAAGAAGAUGUUUGAUAAUUUUCUUUUGAUUUCUAUGAAAUUUCCUUUUAUUGGACUGUUUGUUUAUUUUCUAAGAAUAUUAUAGUAUGUUAUGAUGAGGAUAUUGGUUGGUGAUAUUUGAAAAUUAAUUUUUGAGAAAAUUAUUCUCAAUAUUGUCAUCUGCCACAAAAGGAUUUUAAAAGUAUGUUUUAUUUUUGCCUUCUUUUCUUAUUGUUUUUAUAUGCAUUGACCAAACUUUGGAGUAAUUUGAGAUUGAUGAUGAAAUUUUCCUUUCAAGGCUAGGAAAUUUCUAUAAAAUCCUUUUAUUACAAUUUUUUUUUUUUUCCUAUUCCUUCCAUAAAACUCUUCCUUUUCUUCAUUUUUCUUUUUUGAUGUUUGAUAAUUUAUUGAUCUAAAGAAUAUUAAAAGUAAAAAAUUUAAAAUAUUGAAUAUUUUUUCCUUUGAUGUUGUUAUUUUAUUAUUAUUUUUAUUUGAACAUAUUUUUCAUAUCCAAAUUUUCUAUUAAUUAUUUUACUUUUAAAAAAAAUAUCAAUUGAAGUUAUGACUGAAAAAUCAAUAAUUUUUAUGAAAGGUUCUUUAAUUCUUUCUCAUACUAAUUUUUCUCUUAACAUUUCUUAAUAGUGAAUUAGGUUUUUUUGUUUUAUAUACACAAUUUUCAUGCUUGUUAUAAUAUCAUGUCCUAUCAUAUUAGUAGUUGAAAACAUUUUUAUAUUUUGUUACUAAAAUUUUAUUUUAUAUAAUUUACAUGAAUUUUAAUGGACAUUGUUAUUUCACAAAAUGAACAUUAAAAAAAAUAUUGAAAUUAAGAAAAUCCUUCCAAGAAAUAAAAAAAUAUAAAAAGAAUUGGAUGUUAAAAAUGAUUUUUAAAAGCAUUAUGAAUUAUAAAAAAUAAAUUUAAAAGAUUAGUAUUUUCUAAAAUUUUAGAUUUAUAUUUUGAUUUUGUAGUUUUGAUUUAUUUCAUAUUUUCUUGAAUUGUUUUUAUUUGAGUUCAAAUGUGACUACUUUGUUAUGAGAUUCAUUAAAAGGAUAAUUGUUGAUUCUACAGUUAUUGCAUUAAAGGUUUUACUCAUUUAAUGAAUUGUACAUAGUUUCAUACUUCUAAUUAUUGUGAUAUUAAUGUUAUUUUCAUUUGAUUUUAGUUUGAUGACAAAAAACAUAUUCUCAAGUAGACUUUGAUGAAAUAAGAGGAGAAUGGAUUGCUUUUGUGUUAUAACUAAUCAUGAAUCAUGUUGAUGUAUCGUGAUCAUGCAUGGUGAGUCCCUUAGUUGUUAUAUAAAUUUUCCAUUGGUAUUGUAUAACAUUACUUAUUCUUUAUGAACUAUUUUUAUAUCAAAAUAGGAAAAAGAAAAAAGGAAACAUUAGUACUUAGAUUUGUUUAUUUUUUUAUAACAUCACUAUGGACCCCGCAUUUUCGGCUCGAUGCGUUUCCCACUCGAUGGCGAGCUCGAUUUUUAAUUUUGAAAAAUGAUUUUUAUUCAUUAAAAAUGACUUGGAGUCGCCACUUAUUUUUGUUUUAUUUUUAAAGGGUAAACAAAAUAAGAAAAAAAAACCCUAAGUGUGACUCCUUAUUUUAGAAAAGGCGAUCUACGAAAAAACCGGAUUGGGCUCGGGGGUUAGGUUACUUAUCGGGAAGGUACGGUAAAGACCGUAGCACCCCUCUAAGUCCCUAAAAUCGGGUCUUUACUAAUAGAAUGAAGCUGACGUGGCAGUCAACAAGAAAAUCGAUGAAUAGUCAAAUCAAUCAUGCACAAUAUGAGAAGCAAAACAUGUAUAAAGAAUGAGCGAAAUAUGAAUAGAUGCGUACCUGGACGGCAAUCACGAACGCGCUAUCAUGAAACAUGGUUAGUGAACAAUGAACAGAUAUAAUUAAGCGCAUAUCAAGGAAUAGAGUAAAUCAAUCAUGCAUAGCAAAUAAAUAAAUCAAUUAGUUAAUCGAUUAUAAAUCACAUAUGUGGGGCCCCACCAAAGUCCAUUUAUUUUGCAUGAUUUAAUUCCAAUAACUCCAUUACUUGGAAUUACGGAAAUGAAUUCUUGCUUAUUUUAAAACGUUUUAAAACGAAGGAGAUGUGGAAAUUAUUUGCUAGAAGGAAAGAUGACAACAAAAUUUUAUUGGAAAUGAGAUUUUUGAGUGAUCCUAAAAAUUCUAAAGAUGAAAAUUUGAAAAAUAAAUAAAUAAAUAAGAAUAAAAUAAAAUUAUUUGAAAAUCUAGAAAUUGGAAACUAUUUGAAAACGGGAAAUUUGGAAAUUAAUUUAAAAUUGAAGAUAAAGAAAUAAAUAGAUAAAUAAAAAAAUAAAUAAAGGACACGUGACUCAAAAUGUGGUCAUGCAUAGUUGCUUGUAAAUUGGACAGCCAGUUGCUUCUCAUACUCUCAGCGUCAAGAUGUUCCUUGAUGUAGUUGCCCCAUGUGUCAUCCUUAGCCGUGAUAAUGCAUGUGUUUUCAUCCCAAUUAAAGUCACUUUGAUCAAGAAGUGCCUUGAUAGUGACAUAUUGCAUCCUCAAGACAUCAUACCGAUUCCUCAGUUGGUCCUUAUCCAUGGAUUCCCGCGAAAUAAAUCUGUUACCAGAACAUUGUAACCAUUGCAUGCAACGCGAUAUGCGGAGUCCCUUGUGGAUGAAUUUUCGAAGCCAAAGGCAUCAAACAAGAGCAGUAUCCCUGCCAACUGCGUGUUCAUCCAGCCGCUCAAUCACGCCACUAACAUGGGCACAGCGGAAAGCAUCAACACAACCUUAAUUCCUCUCUUGUAGCUGUUUAGCAGAUCCAAGUCUGUACAAGACUUGAUCUAUGGCAACGUCAUGAGGAUAUAGCCGCGGGGUAGCAUAUGAAUCCAAUCAAUGGGAAAUGGGCAUUAGGAAUGGUGGUCAGGCUUUGCAUGAUUUCAUACACGUGAAUGAGUGAUGCUGGGACCUUCAUGGAGGCUUUGAGUGGAUCUUUGGGCGGCGGUGUAGAAAGAGAAAGGUAGCAGGAAGAAAAGAAUGGGUGUGGGCUUGGUGGUAUGAAACGUGUGGUGUUAAAGAGGAAUGUGGCGUACAUGAGGAAAGACAUGGUGAGUGGAAUGAGCUAUGGGCAUGAGAGAAAUAGAGAAAAUGGGUAUGAAGGUUAAUGAGAGAGAACGGGCGUGUGAGGGUGGUAAAGGAAAAUGGAUGAUGGAUGCACAUAGGUGGAAAUGGGAAUGGAUUUGAUAAAGCAUGAAGGUAGGAAUGGGAUUCGGGUGAUAUUAGAUUACCAUGCAUGGAGAAUGUAUACGUGGAGGUCUAUUAUGCAAAGGAACUAAAAACGGGUCAAGUGAAGGGCUGUUUAGGGAAUAUGGCAUCAGUUUCAGGUUGAGGGGAUGGGGCCCUUGGGCCAUUUGGCUACCCACAAGUAUGAUCUACAAAAUAGGGUCCUUAUGUCAGGGUCAACUUUCGGAUUUUUGCAAAGCUGAUGCUACCAAUUUAAACUCUGAUCAAUCAGUGUCCGCGAUCUUGAGUCCUUCAAGCUGAUGCAACGCGUCUUUAGGAAGGUAGAGCCUCCAAUGAAUACUUUAGAUUUCGAUUUUUGAACAAUCAUGGCAGAACCCUUCAUCGAUUGGCAUUAUCAUUACCCUGGGAUUGCAGCAAGAUGCAUGGAAGGCUUCUUCACUAUUAUCACAAAUGAGCAUAUACAAUAUAUUUUCUGAAUGACCACACGAUUUACAUGGUUGGGAUGAGUUGCUAUUCCCACUAACUCCCAGAACUUCAAGAAGCUCCUGACUCCUCAGUAUAGAAAUGCGUGUAAUCAUUACCCUCUUGUUUGGCAUGACCUGUGCAUACCCAAGAAUGACACCUACUAACCAACCAAUUGAUCCUUAUUGCAUUUAGAACUCAUCUGCAUCCCCUAGUCAAUUUCAGUUUCUGACAGUUAAACCAAAAAUCCCCAGUCUCAGCAAUGACAGUAGUCUCACUUGACAACAUUUUCUGUAUAUGCUGGAACAGAACAUAAACCCUCAAAGGCUCCUCGGGAUCAGACGUAGGAGACUGUCCCUCAGGAACGUAAACUCUAUGGUAGAACUCAUAGGCAGUGAUAUUGCAUUCGAGCCUCUUGGAGAAUGACUUGAAGAAAUCUUUCAUCAAAAUGCACCCAAGCUCAAGCCCAUAAGCACACCAAACACCAUUAUUGGGUUCGUUACAUCACCAUGCUACGGAGUUUAUACAACAGGAAGCUCUAACUGAUGAUGGUUCUGGUAGUGAUUUGCCAAUGGGAACUUGGCCAUCAAGUGAACCCGAUAUCAGAAGCUGAAGUUAUUACCUUGUACUCUUCUAUUCCCCCAUUAUCAGCAAUUCCAAUGGAAACAGUAGGAGAGCCUCAAGACUGUGUAUCCAUUCAAUAACUCUGUUUCUCAGUCAGGAUGCAAAAAACUCCCCAAUGAUUCUACAGCUGCAACCACAGGAGCCCCACUACUACCAGUUCCUUCACCCAUUCUGACAGCAACCAAAACCAGACCAAUGACUUGAACUUUAGACUUCCCCAAUCCAUUAAAUCCAGAAACCACUUGGAGUUAGAAACAUUUUCUACCUCAUCCUAGAACUUUCAGGUAUUUUACAAAGUAAUGGUCGGUAUUUUUCAAAAGCAAAAAGAAAAAAAGGUAAGACUCAAGAAACAGAGCAAACUCAGAAUUCGUUAAUCAAGACUCCAUCUCAUGCUGCACUCAAUGGAUCUAAACAGGUGAGACAAGCAGGGAGCAGUGGCAUGAUUAAUCAAUCUCAAAAAUAAUCCAUAUAUCGGUUAUUGACAGGAAAAAACAAAGAAAGCAGAAAAGAACCCAAACAGAGCAAAUACAAAAACAAACUCAAAUUCAGCAAAUCAAUCCACAAUCAAGAAAAACUAACAAUGCUCAAGUAGCCUGAGAAAAAUGAUGAAGAACAGUGAUAAUGAAAAAUACCCUAAAAAAAAGAACACGAUACUUCAUACCUGUGAAACUCCUCUCCGAUGAAGCUCACCUACCAAACCAAUCUGCUCCCAUCCUUGGCACUAGAACCCCUCUCCGUAGCAGCCUAAGCUCAAGGAAAUCCCUCUCCAGACCGAUCUCUUCUUUCUUCUCAAGUUCUUUUCUCCUCCUCUCAAAAUAUCUCUCCCUGAAAAACGGCAGCCAAAACCUCCCUCUGCAGCUGGCCUGCCCCCGUAACAGAAUACCCCCCUCUAGCUUUCUCACUACCCUCAAAAGCACCCUCUCUCUCCUGCAGCUGCAAGCCUCCACUACCCCCAUGCAGCUGGCAGCCUCUACUCCUCUAACGGCCAGCAGAUUCUCCUUCUAGAAAAUUCUUUCCCUUUUCCAGGUGUCUUUCCCUGAUUGGCCCAUCAAUUCCACUAUAGUGAUUCUACAGUGACCAAUCCUAAGAAGGCACGUGGCCUUAUGAGAUUGCGACACUUGGCAAACACAGGCUGCCAAAAAGUGAGCCCCCAAAUGGGGGUCUACAAUCACAUUUUUAUUUUCAAUAAGAACUCUAAAACUCAUUAAACUAUAAAAUGCAGAUAUACACUCUUGAGAGGACAAUAUGAAGAAUAAAAAGAAAUAAGAAAGAAGCAACAAGAUUUGGAUUUUUAGAUGUGACUCUUAUGUCAUACAUUAUACGACAUAAAUGUUAUUUUAUUUGGAAUUGAGAAUUGUGGGUUUUUUUAUGCAACUCUUGUGUCAUUUGGUUAGCCGGUUUUAUGCAUAUGAAACGUAAGUAUACAUGAAUGUUGGGAUGCUUAACAUUUCUAAAUCAUGUUUUAAUGUGUAUUCACUUUUCUUUUUUAGUUUUGGUGGGUUUGAUAUACUAUGUUUUGUGAACAUUUGAUAUACAAAUAUUAGUGGAUGAUGUAAUGUAUUAUAGGUUAAUCCAUAAGCAUAAAGAAAAUAUAAGUUAAAUGUAAUAUGAUUAUUAUAUUUAUGGACAAAAUUUACACACGUUGAUCUUAUUUAUUAAUAAGCAUUACAAAAAUCUAUAGGCUAGUCAACAAAAAACAACCAUAUCUUCUAUAAUCAUUUACAAUGAAGUGACACCAUAAUUCAAAGGUGAUGCAUUUAACGUGACAUCAUAACUCAAAGGUGAUGCAUUUAAUAUGACACCUUAUAUAUCUCACAUAACUCUAUAUCAAAUUAAGCAUCACUAAAAAUAUAUGGUGUCGCUUCUAAAUGCGUCACAAUUUAUCUGUUUUGGUGUCGCUUCCAAAUACGUCACCAAUUGGUACCCUCUAUGGUAUUGGUGGAUAAGGUGACGCUAUGUUGUAGCGACACCCUAUGUUUAGGGUGACUCGUUAUAAAUGUCACCAUAUAUGUUUUUCCUUGUAGUGUCAUUGGGAAGGUUUUUUCCAUUUUUUAGAGGGGUUUUCUAAAGGCUUCUAGGGUGAGGACACUGUUCUCAUAUUGGCUUUUUUUCCCCCUUUUUAGAGGGGUCUUCUAAAGGCUUCUAAGGUCAACUAGGAGAGCAUGUUGAUUGAUGCUUUGAUAUGGAUACCAGAUGCCACAUUUCAUCUUGUUGAACACUGGUUAGCUAUGGACUUGUUACUGCUUUACUCUUCUGUUUCGAGUUAACUUUGGAAAUGAAUCUGAAUAUAGACUAGUAUUUGCAUCUUGAUGUUUAGAGAAUCAUAUUUUAGUUGUUGUUUAAAAUUCAUUUUGGCAUGUUCGAUUGCUUCAAGCUCAUUUAUACAAUAAUGAAAUGGAGAUUUAUAUAUUUGUUAUUGGGUUGGCUCUCUGUUUGGUUAUCUUUAAGUUCUGCAUCUUUUCUUUUCUCGUUGCCUUAUCUUCUCUGGGGGGUGUCGUUUGAGAAAUACAUAGUGGAAAAAAUGGGAAGCUGAAGGCUUAUCCUGGCAUCGACCUCGCGUUAGGGAACGACUUGAUCGAAGAACAUAUGAAUUUUUCAAAUACCCAGAACUCACAUCAAAAGAAGCAUCGGAGUCAAGGUCAAACACAUCAUCUGACAAGGAAUAUACCUUUGCCUUUGGUGACUUUAUUGACUUCUGCAUGAUGGACAUCCGAGGGUGGGGACUGGAAGAGAAAUGAUGAAUUUGCCCAAGAUAGUUUGUCUAGAAAGGAACUUGUAUUAAAUGAUGAUUACCCACUAUGUCAGAUGUUGAAAUUUGGGUAUGACAACUCCUGGUGGCAUCAGAAAGAUGAGUUGCACAAUCCUUCUCACAGUUGAAAGCUUGACCUCCGAAGUUGGGCUUUUUCAUGGCCAGACAAGAACAGUGAUCACAAUAGUAUGAGCCAAGCCUGUCACGACCCAAAUUCUAGGUGAACUUAACCAUGACUCCAAAUCAAAGGUUUAAACUUAAAGGUUACAUCUAUUCAAUCUAGUAGUCAAUCCUGAUAACUUGAUUUUUUUUUCUUGAUAAAACAAUAUCUAAUCCCAAAUCAAUUUAUUAAGCUAAUAACUUGAUUUUUUUUCUCAAUAAAACAACAUCUAGUCCCAAAUUAAUUUAUUAAGCUAAGAUUUACUAUAUCAUAUUAUUUGAUUUUAUUUUUCAAAAAUCAACCAUUACACUAUCACUUAUUUGCAAGUAUAAUAAAUCUGUCAAACAUCUUAUCACCCAAAAUGAUAACCCAAAUAUUUACAAAAAAAAGUUUUACAAAUUAAUAAAAUAUAGUCUAAGUUAUAAAAGUUCUUAUAAAUUAAAUUAGUAUGUGCUAAAAUAUAAGAUAACUGAAAAAAAAAAAAAAAAAAAAAAAACCAUUAUUAUUAUGGUUCCUUAAAAACUAUAUUUGCAUCUAAAAAUUUUAGAAAAUAAAGGGAUGGACAUUUCCACAUUACUUAGUAAGGUAUUUUACACCCACACAAAUUAGAAAUUCUAAGUCAAUAAAACACAAUCAUAUAUCAAAGUGUAAUUUUACAUCUAAUGUACUACAACUAUAUACAUUUAAACUAAUCAAAAUUAUCACUAACCAUAAUCAGACUCCAAAUAAUACAAAUAACAUUUAUUAUCUCCCAAAAACAUAAUGUGUAAUUUUGUUUCCAAAGAAAAAUAUAAAAUAAAAGUUUUAGGGUUAAACCACCCUACAUCAAAUUUGAAAAUCUAAUUGUUAAAACUAAAAUCAGACUCCGUAAAAAUGUUCUUUAUGUUAAAUAGAGUGUUUUGCUAAAAUCUCAUGCAAAACAGAAUUCAUUUGGCUUGUCGGAUGACAACCCAAAUAUUUGUUGCACCUUCCUUGUUUCUUCUCUUCCUUUGUGUUUCCGUUUGCACUCUUCUCUCUACGGAUCUGGUAAAUAGGGUAGCCCCUGGUACGCUUGGGGCUGGAUUGAAUCCUAUUCGAACUAUAUCUAACUUGAUCUUGUCCAAGCUAGGAAGGUUUUUGGUCUCGAUGACAUUGGAAGUUUCAUCAUUGCUAAAGAAAGGGGCGGCCAAAAAGGCUUAGCGACGACCCUCUCUCGACUUAAAGGAAACGACUUGUCCCAUCCAAUGCCCUACUUUUAAGUGCUCGGUAUGUUCACUUAAUCAAAUCUAGAAGAAGCUUGGCCUCUGUAGAGCAUGAAAAGGCUAGUUUUGAAGCUUUUAAUCGAGGACUUAUUUGCCCUAAAGCCUGACUUCUUAGGAAGAGAAAUGGGCUUGACUUCUUCAUCAACCUCGGAAUCGCAUUCUAUCACACUGGUGGUACUUCUUGUUGAAUUAAAAGAUUGGAUGAGUCUUUUUGUACCCACCCGCCACCCCUGUUUGAGAGUGAUUAAAUAUCAUAACUUCCUUAAUGGACCUACGGACUAGCUAAGGUUUACUUACAUAGUUGUUCUUUCUUUUCUCAAUUUCAAGUUAAAGUUAGCGUUUUUCAGCUUACUGUUUGCUUUGGUUGAGUAGCCGCCUUAUGACCCUUUGCUUUUGAAUGAAAUCAUCUAGAACCUCUCAGAUCGGAUUCCAAUCACCUUAGUGAGUCUCCUAGGUGCGAAGCCAUUCUUUAAGCCCAAAACAAAAGGAGAAGUGAAGUCACUAUCUAGACAAAGGGGCUUGCCUACUUAUAAGGUAGGAGUUCACACCGGGGAAUCGCUUUCUUAAUUAAUUAAAAGCGAGCCAAACUCACCACCUCAUGUACCAAAGUCAAACGGUUGUUCUUCCUUCCCCGCUCCCUUUUUCUCUACAUAUGUGAUGGCGGGCAGAGCGCUCUAUAUGACCGGUGGUGGGUUACCAGAGAAGAUGGGACAACUUCUUUCUCUCUUGCCUUGCUCAAUCUUCCUUUUCUGAUUGAAAGUAGCAAGCCACACCACUACUGGUACAGAGGUCGGAUAGAAGGUUGCUUUUUCUAUAUGUUCAGGCGAAGAACAUCUACGGCACAGUCUUCGCCAAGCAAGAUGAUGUAACUCCUCAAAACAUAAAAAGAGCUCUUAUAUAUGUAAAAACAUGAUAUAUGUGUAAAUGAAUUAUAGCCAUUUUCAAAUAGAUCAGGAUCGUCAGAUGUUUGAAAUGGAAAGUCAAUUUUUCUAUAUGCAUGUAGAUAUCUAUAGGGGAUUAUAUGAAGGGGAUGUUAUUAUUUUAGAUAUAAUCAAUUCCCUUCUCGGAGCCCACUAAGAUCCGGAUCUCCUACGGAAAUGAUUUAGAAGAUCCAAAACCAAAAAUAGUGGUAUUUGCUAGCAACAACAUAAUGGAGGCAGUCAAUCAAUAUAUAUUGAUCUAAAAUCUGAUUCAAAUCCAAUAUAGCACCUAUGGGUACAUAAAAGAAAGGCAAGAGAGAAAAGAAGUCCAUACUUUUCAACAAAGCUUUAAGUGAGUAGGGGUGUAGCAGAUUCAUGCACGUCGAAUAUAAAUGCAGUUGGAUGAGUAGUCGCGGAUUCACAAUGCCGGUUAAAAAGCCAAUCUUAGGGUUGCAUUCACUCCCCUUCUAUAUCUUGCAUCUAUAGUAUUUUUGUCCUGGUGGAUCUCUUUAUCAUUUAAUAAAAGUUUGGAAUCUUGGGUUACUAAUUGGUGGAAUACUAGGCAAUCUAAAACUUUUUUGAAUGAUAUUCAAGAAAACAAUCAAUUUCCCAUCAUUUGCACUAUGAAUGGAAAUGAAAUUCUAGAUCUAGAAUCAGAUGAAUGUGCAACAGUCAAUUUCCUCCCUCACAACCUAAUUGUCCACUAAAAACAACCUUUUUUACUAUACGCUAUUUGGCCGCUAGAAGAACUUCAGUUCUUAUAGGUAAAUGCUCAAUACCCAAGUAGGCCUACAAAGUUGAUCAUGAUCAAGUGCUUUUUGGGUCGUCUUAGACCUUGCAAUAUCUCUCCGGCCCUCUAGCACUCUGUUAUGGCUCAAUCACUUACUCUAGUUCUGGAGUUCUAGGUCCUCUAGCUAUUAGUGCAGGUAGCUCUCCUUCUGGUAAUGCAUUAUAGGUUGUCUUCCUUCCACCUUCCUGUUUUCAAGAAAGCUUAUUUUCUUUCUAAGAAAAAUCAUACAAUCUCGUAUGAGAACGGGAUUGAUGGGAGGCAUAUGCUCCCAGGCUACACAAUGUCUUACAGGGCUUACCCAGUUAGAAGGUAUGUAACUAAAGUCUCAAGAGAAUUGAAAUCGACGAGAAAUCAGAAUCAAUGUUAGAGAUUAGACUUGGCAUGGAAAAAGGAGUAUAGUAAGAUGAUAGAGACCUCGCACGAGAUGCUUACUCGGAUUCAUGCCCAUAAAGAGUAGAAGAUUCAACACAAGUGCAAGAAUAGGUUUCACAGUUAAGAAAGGUUGAGAUUCAGGUGAGUGAGUGAGUCCUCACUGACUUGAGCGAUUUCGAUCACCUAGCAGUUUAUUUGGUAGGUAACAUCGCUAAAGCAUAUCAUCUGAUCUACAAAUGAAGGAAAUCAAAGUGAGACGACACCGUCCUCUGUAACGCAACGAUAGUUGGCCCUUUAUCAUCAACUAUUUGGUAGACUUGGUAAAAGAUGUAAGGCUUUAGCUAGUACACGAAAGUGCAUACCAUGAUUCUUCUGUCUAUCAAUAACUGCAUGCAUUGCACGAUGGAUGUGAAGAAGUAGGCCAUUAUCUCGACAAUAAUGAGCCAAGCUAGUAUUUGCAGUGAAUCCCCCUGUUAAGUAGUCACAUUAAUGGAACAAGAACACAUUAGCGUAUGAAACAGAGCUGAAAGCGCGAGUGCACAAUCUCAAAAACGGCAAAUUCACGUUCUACUUCCUCAAUCUCGAACUCUGUCUAUUGGGAUGAGCUCCCCUUACCUGCGCUAUUCUAUGAACGAACUUCCUUUAUAAACCAUAAAACUGGAACAAUCACUGUUCCAGGGUCUGUCUCAGAGUUCUAUCUCGUGCUUGACAUCAAUUGCAUCCAAACCUUUAAUCGGGUAUACUUUCCACAAUAACAAGCGAGUCAUAGUUAGGUAAAAGUUAUACAGAAAGAUGACAUCGUUGGCGAACUUGAAGCUAGUUAGGUAAAUCCCCUUAUAUUCUUCUUUCUUCUCCCAUAAGACAUUCCUUAUUAUUAUUAUUAUUAUUAUUUUCAUUUUCUCAAUUUCUUUAUCUUUUCAACUUUAAGACACCAUUUUGCACUUCUUCUUUUUUAUUAUAAUUAUUAUUCUUUAUCAACCAUACCAUGUUAAGAAAUUUAUUUAUUUUAAUCCAAAAAUCUACUUAAAUACAAUUUCAUACUUUUCUUAAUAAAUUAUAUAUAUAUAUAUAUAUAUAUAUAUAUAUAUAUAUAUAUAUAUAUAUAUAUAUAUAUAUAUAUAUUAUUUCUUAUUAUAACAAAUUUAAAAUGUCACAUGUAUCAUUUUUUUAAUAAAUCAAAUUAUUAUUCUUUAUUUCAUAUUCUACAAUUAUAAAUUAUACUCAAUAUAUGAUUUAUUGUCUUACGAAAAAUAUACUGCUAUAUUCUUAAUUAAAUUUAUUACAAGUCUACUUUUCAAAAAAAAAUUAAUUUGACUUUAAUUACUUGAAACAUUUUUAUUAUGAAAUUCAUUUAGAACAUGAUUUCAUUAAUUAUAUAUUUAAAAAAAAUCAAUUUUAGAAAAAAAUCUGAAACAUAAAAUAAUUCUUCAACAUCAAGAAGCUGAAAUUCAUAAUAAUAUUUAAUCCUUUAAUUUUACCAAUAUUUAUUUACCAAUAAAAUUUAAGCAAUAUUCUGAAAUUUAAUUCCAUUAGUUAUUUAGUCAUUCAAUUUAUAAAAUCAUAUUCUCAACCUUUGGUAUAACUUUUAUUUAAUUUACUUCAUUUGUCAAAUUUCUCAAUUGAAUCAAAAUUUCAAAAGUUAAAUUCACUAAAUUCAUAUUUAAUUAAUUUAGCCUUUUAUAUUCCCUAAAUUAAUAUAUCAUAAUUUACUCUUAAUGUAAUUUCAAUUCAAUUUUAUUUGAUGUUUUGUAAUUCUAUAAGGUUUAAUUCUAAUUAUAAAAAUUAUUGAUUUCUUAUAAAAUUAAAUUCAAUUUCUUUUUAAUUAUCCAUUAUAACAAUUUGAUAUAAUCUAAAUUUUUAUCAAGUUUUUCUUACUACAAUUCUCUAUAAUUAAAUUAAUGGUCAUAAUAUACUUAAUAUUCAAUUUUAGAGACUAUAAUAUCAAUAAUUAUUUGAUGGUUGAAUUUUUUUCCAAAUUUAAAUUUAAUUUUUGAAAUUCCUACUCUUUGCAUAUGACGUGAUGGAAUUUUUAUACUAUUGACUUUUUAUUAACUUUUUCAAAAAAUUUCUUAAUUAAAUAUUAACACGGGGAUUUUCGUCAUUCUUUUUUAACAUUUGACUAAUGAUUUUAUGAUAACUUUAAUCUGACAUGUCAUUAAAAAUCCGGUUGUUAUAGAGCCAGUCAAAUUAAGCCUGUUAUCCGAGGAGUGAAGCCACUGCCUUGUUCUAUCUCCGAUGGCCUGCUCAGCUCCUUCAACCCCCAUCGCUCUCCUCUUUCCAAGUUCUCCAUUUUCAGUUUAGAGCCAACAAGGAUCGCAGAAAUCCUUAAAGAUUGACCUACAUGGUAUCGUGAGUACCGCGAUGUGGAUGUUCUUAAUGUGUUGUCUACUAGAGCCAAAUGGGUGUUUGAUAAGACCCAGUGAAGGUGUAAAAAUUAUAUGACGAAGCUUGCAGAAAGACUUUGAGUUGAGGGAAGGCAUCUCAACGAAGUUGGGCUUUUGUAUUGUGAAUCUGGCAAAUUACCUAUACUGCAUGGAUCAUCACUCUUUUAACGUGGAGGUACACAGGUCCUUUGCAAUGUGACACUUGGGGCACCACAUCAAGCUGGUGAUGCUCAACGACUGGCUUCUCUGGACGGGUCCUCCAACAAAGCGCUUCAUGCUUCACUGAAAUUUCCCGGAGUUCUCAAUUAAUGAAGUUGGCCAACUCCUUAACCUGCACUGUUCCGCAGCAGUCACAUAAAGAUUUGACAUUGAAAUUGAUCAGGUUUUUCCUCUGCCAAUGGUGGUGGGCGCGCUUUGUAUGUAGAUUCCGAAGGAACUUCCAACUUGAUGGCUGUGAGUGGUAAGGUUGGAGAAGAUACUACUGGGUCUGCCCCAUUAGUUUUCCAUUGUUAAGGUAGUUUGGUGCACAGCUUCCUGGAUCAUCUACACCACGAGCACCUCCAGCCGCCUGUUUUGAUCAGUUUCUGGAUUUCCAUCUCCAAAUUGUGCAAGCAGUGACUGAUAUGGUGUCCAUACAAGCGGCUACUGAAAUGGUUCAAACCCCAAAUGCUGAAGGGAAAGGAGCUUUUGGAAAAUAUCAUGAAGAAGACUCACCCAUCUUACAUGAAAUUAUACACAACUCCAUGGACCAGAACCGGAACCCAGACUUAAAUUUGUCCAAGAGAAGAUCAGUGUAAUACAAGUCAACUGCAGUCAUUCCUGAAAGAAGUGAUGAGAAGAGUAAACCUGGAAAAGCAGUGAGUGAAACAAGUUUUGUGACAUUGAACAAUUUGCAGAUGGGUGUUCCCACAAGCUCCUCUCCCCUCUUCCUACGUGCAUGAAAUUCCUACGUGCAUGGCCACCUUCUUAGGUGUGCAAUUCUGCGCAUAAUUCUCAAGCGUACUAUCACCCUCUUCUUUUUUGAAAAAUUGAUUUUAAAUUUAAAAUUUUGACAAAUUCAUUUCCCUUUUAAAAUCCCUCAGUAAUUCUCUUCAAAUUAAUAAAAUCUAUUUUCAAAAAAAAUUUGCUGCCAUUUUCCUUUUGGCAUAGACCUUUUUCUAUUUUCUUUGAUUUUUAAUCAUUUUCCAAUUUUUUAAUAAAUAUGAAUAAAUUCUAUGUUUUUAAAAAUAAUGGAAUUUUGUCCAAAUUUCUAUUAUCUUUUUCUCCAUGAUCAUUAGAAAGAUGAAAUUCCUAAAAUUAAUUCAUGCAAAUAAAUUGGACAUUGGUAGGCCCAACAUAUGAAUUUUUCUCCUUUGAUUAUUGUUUUUAAUUGCUACACUUGAUUGACUAAUGAUUGAUCUCUGUCUUGCUCUAGCAUACAUGAGAUUAUUUUGUGCUUGUUAUUGUACACUAACCAUGUUUCUCACGAAGCGCUCAACUUAUUCUCAAGUACGUUCUUUCCUUUUCCUAUUCGUUUAGUUAUAACCAAUGUUUUCAAAAUCGGACCGAUCAUUGAAUUGGAAAAGUUACUGGUUCACGGUUCACUGGUCGAAUCGGCGGUCAAAUCACGGUCAAACUAGUGAUGUCAUAAAUAUAUAAUUUAUAAAUUAUUAAAAUUUAAAAUAAUUAUAAAAAUAAAAAUAAUAAUUUAUAUAUUAUUUAAAAAUUAAAAUUUUAUUUAAAAAUUAGAAAAUUAGUUUCAAAUUAGAAAUUAAAAUUAAAAUCAUAAUUUUAAUUUUAAUUUUCAAAUUUUCAAAUUCAUUUUUAAAUAAAAAAAAACUUAUUUUAAAAUCAUGAAUUUAUUUAAAAUUAUAAUAUUUUCAUUAAUUUAAAUUAAAAUCAUAAGUUUUAAACAUCAUGAAAUAAAAAAUAAUAAAUAUAAAAGAAAAUAAAUUAUACUGAAAUGAGGUAAAAAAUAAUUUAAAAAAAUGGAAAAAGAGAGGAGAGGAACAAGCAAAAAAGGGUUCCAACAGGGUUUUGGGGGGUGGGGUUUCCAUUUCUAGCGCCAGGUGGGGGCCCUUCCGGUGGGCCAAAAGGGGAAAAGCUUUUUGGCUUUUCCAGUGCAAGGGGUGCCGAUGGGGUGGGGGGUUCCAAUGGGCAAGAAGAGCUCUUCCAGCGCACGCGGGUAGGAGUGGCGACAAUGGGGAAAAAAAAAAAGUUGAACCGGAUGGUUCCAUCCGAACCGUCCGGUUAGUCGGCCGAACCACCGAUUUAACUAGUCCGACCACUUUCCAGCCCAAUUGACCAAACCAGAUUGAAACCGUGACCAGCCGAUCCAAUCCAAUUUUUAAAGCCAUAAUUAUAGCUCAACCAUAACACAUCAUUGAUCAUUACUUGGUAUUUGUUGACUUUUUGAUCAAUUGUCAUUCUUAUAUUAACUUGAUUAUUAGAGACCUAAUUUUAGGGUAUAAAGGGGUAUUACGAUUUAUCAUCCUACCUUCUCAACAAGUAACCUGACCCUUGAACCCAGACUUGGUUUUUCAUAAACCCGUAUUUUCCUUUCAAGUUUCAUACUUAGAAUUUUUUUUUUUCCAUUUAAAAAUAAAAUAAAGAUACGUGGCCUAAAACCAUUUUCAUCAAUCCAAAGUGAGUCUUGUCUUUUUUUUUUUCAAGUAAGGACACGAUCACAGGUCUACAAUACUAUUUUAAUAUAUAUAAUGAAAUAUAGAUAUUAACGCCAUCUUAAAGAUAUAAUUAAAUUUUUUGUUUAAAAUAAAUUAUAAUAAUUUAAAAAUAAUAUUUUAUUUAAAAUAAAUUUUAGAAUAAGCAAAGUUGAUAUGUGGACAUAGAGAAUCGUGAACCAUUGUAAAUGUAUUGAUUAUAUCUCUUUCUUCCCAUUUCAUUUUUACUUUAGUUUUUAUUAUUCGUAUCUUUUUCUACUAAAAUUUGAAAAAGAAAUUCACAUUCACUUCUUCUUGGGUGUAUAUCAUAGGAUUCAAAAUGUUUUUAAAAAUUAUUAAAUUUGUUAAUUGUGACUAUAUGCUUAUUUAGGAUCCAUUGAUCUUAAUAACUUUCUUCCCGAUAUAGGAAGAAAAUGACUAUUCCAUUAAUGCAGCAUGCAUUGCUGCUUAUUUAUCAAGCAAAUUACAUUAUUAUUUUCACACCAAACCUCCAAAUUCUCCAUGCAUAUACGCAUCCUAUACUGCAUGGCCAACUUCAGAGAGCUAAAACAAGCUCUUAUUGAAUACAUGAUAGAUAAUGUCCCACUGACCCUUUUACUCUGAUACCCUGAAAUGAGAAAUUUGGAGGUUUUCCACAUCAAGCUUCUUGAAAUUACUGCGCCUUCUCGUAACAAAGAACUUUCCCCAGUUGUAUGCUCUAUACUUUGGCUUUUCCCCCUUCGUCAGCUCCUCCAAGGGCUUCACCCAAACAUGGUGCCCGGGACUCAAAACGAACGGAAUCGAGAACCUUUCCCUCUCUGAAUUCACCAUCACCCUGUGCUCCACACUUUCAUAAGUAUCGUUGCUCCAGACCUGGUUUAAUAUCAGUAGAAUUAACCAAAUGAGUGAAAAAUUCCUUGAGCCAAACACUACUGAUAAGCAUGUACUUGUAAUUCAAAGUUCUUGGGUGGUACCUGAACUAUAUCCCCAACAUUGAUGAUAUAAGCAUCUGGGGUGGGCUUAACUCGAACCCAUUCUCCAUCAGUUUUUCGCUUUACUUCCAACCCUCCAACAUCAUCCUGAGCAAGGAAAGUUAAGGCUCCGGAAUCCUUGUGGCGACCAAUGCCCAGAGCUAGGUGAGGAAUGGAGCAAGGUGGGUAGUGAUUGAGGCGGAUGAAGUUUGUUGAUUCUUCAAAGAGAAGAUUGAAUCUGUUCUCUGGCAAACCUAAGCUCAGAGAGAGGAGUCCCAACAGAUUGACAGCUAGUUUUUCCAUUUCUCUAGCAUAUUCUUCACAUACCUCCCUGUAUAAAUCAGCUCAAUUAGAACAAAAAAACUUAAGUAAUUCACUGUAGUGACUGUGCCUUAGCUGGUGGAAUUUGUACCUUAAUUCAGGAGGGUACUGAGGCCACUGAUUGAUCAGCUUUUCGAGCUCCUUGUCGUCAGGAUUAGGCGAAGCAGGGAUGAAGGCGGGGGAUGACGCCACGAUAUCAAAGACUUCCUUCCAGUCCCUAACGUUCUUGGUAUGCUCAGUAUCGAAAUACCCAAAAGGAUUCACCUCAUCUCUACUCACCUUCCUCUUCUCCUCCAAUGGCAGAGCGAAGAACUUCCUCGCCGCAUCCUCAAUUUUACGACGAGACUCGGAGGGCACCCCAUGGUUGAUGACUUGAAAGAAGCCCCAGUUCUUGCACGCAUCAGCUAUUUGAGAAACAUGGUUGGAAGCAUUGGCGGAAGAGAGAUCAAUGAGGGGGAUGCCUUCAGCUUCGAUAACAGCGAGCUUAGGCCUAUGUUGGGUGUCUUGGAUGAAAGCUGGAUCGACCUCUCCCAUGGCUGUGGUAGUGGUUAGAACUUAGAACUUAGAAAUGGCGGUUAUGCACUGCUGGUGUUAGCUGCACGUGAAGAUGGUGAGGGGGACUUGGCCACUUAGCAGGUGGUUUUUGUAGUGUAGUGGGGUUGGUUUAGUACAUUGAACCUGGACAUAAUUGGGGUUACGUUUUAAGUUUUGGUUGGGGGUGUGGGCUCAUGGGUUGCGCAAAUGUCAAUGAUAAUUGGUCAAGUGAUACCAAGUUAUUUCCAAAAUCUGCAGCCGCAAAGGGUAUCUCUCUCGAUGAUUUUGGCAACGUACAGCACUCUCCACAUUCAAAUGUUUGAUCAAAGAUACGUUUUGUUUAGUGUCGUGUAUAUUUUCGAAUUAAUUACUUCAUAUUUAGGGAUACGUUUUGUUGAGUAUCGUGUAUAUUUUCGAAUUAAAAACUUCAUAUUUAGGGAAAAGUGUGCUUCAAUACGCUAAUAUAAAAAUAUCAGCAAAAUAAGAUCCUAAUUUUUCAUAUUUUAAGGUUUAUAAUGCAAUUGGAAAUUAUUUGGAGAAUUAUGCAUUUUCAGCUCAUGUGUAUUUCAAAUCCAAAAUGCUCUCCACCUUGCCAGCCAAGUCUUACACGUUGAAAGUAAAGAGAGAAAAAAUCUUCAAAAAGCCACCAAAACCAAUUUCUCUUUCUUUUUGAGUUAUUUGAUUCAAAAGAUCAAUAAAAUCCAAUUUUUAAAAUUUAACCCUUUGUUCUUUUUUUUUUCAUUUUGAUAAAAAUAUCUUUACCAUUUUCUUGUAGAAAUAACAUUUUUUUUAAACCUAUAUGUAAAUACUUGAAAUGGUAAGAGACGUGUACAUUAAAAAAAAGUUAUUUUUCAAGUAAAAAUAUAGAAAGGAUUAUUUCAUCCCUUUUAACCAAAUAUUUAACAUGAUCAAGGACUAUUCCCUAAAUGAAGGCAUACGGUAGCAAAUACCCUUAAUCUAAACAUUAAAAGUACAACUUAUCUAGUAUCAAACACUCUGUUUUAAAACCCAUAGCCACUCCAAAUAUCCCAAAUAUUCUUUUCUAUGCAACCUCUCUCUCUCUCUUUCUCGCACAAACACACUAAAAUAUUUUCUCAAACUUGGAUUUUUCUCCACAACUCAACCCUAACUUCCUUUCUAUUUGUACCAAGGCUAGAGAAUAUAGUUUAUACUUGUAUUCCUUCAUGUACCAAGCCCACAAGAUGAUCAAUAAGUUUCUCUCUAGAUUUUACAUUGGAGUUGAUUGAUGAUAGUACCCUUAUUAGGUAGUAUAUUAUCUUCCUUAGGUACUGCUUUUUCCAUCCUUAGAUACUACCUUUGUAACCUUGGGUGCAUGAUUGAAUCCAUUGUUUCAUGGCUACUUCAAGUAAGUCAGGAACUUAUGUACAUGUGUGCUACAUGUCUUAUAGAUACUAAAUUUACAUUCUUUAGGUACUACCUUUACCUUCCAUGGGUACAAAUACGGUUAAUGAUAAGAAUUUUAAUAUAAAAAAGGGAAAAACCCUGCUUGAUAAUAAAAUUGCAUAUAUUUUCUUUCUUUCUUUCCUUUUUGAUUGAUUUUUUUUUUUUUUGGUCUUUGCUUUGGUUUUUAUUUAUGUCUUUGUUUCUUUUAGUCUUUGUGUGUGUGUGUUUUAUUUUAUCUUAUUUUCAUCUCUAUGCAGAAGAUGUAGAAGAAACAACAUCACAUCAUAAGGUGCAUUUUUCCGUUCAUUUAAGACUAAAGGUUUUGGAUUCACAAAAUGGUGGGAACUAAGGGUGAGAAGCUGGAAAAAUGUUGGAUUGAGCUACAUUUGAUCAAUGGUGAAUUUGCAAAAAAGAUUGUAGGAGAGUGUAGACCCUCAAUUUUGUCCCUUUAGCACAUGUUUUAAAGUCCAUUACCAAUACUUUACAGUAAUCUCUUGGUAGCCCAUAGCUACUCACGCUACUUACCUUUCUUGAGCCACCUCGGAGACUCUAGUUGAGGGAUUGCCUAACCCCUUAUUGUGACCCUUGGCAGUUUUGAUUUAGACUUAAGGUUUUCAUUCCUUCUUAGGAUAGCUCUUAGGUGCACUUUUAGGUCCACUUAGGCAUCACCCUUGGCUAAUUUAGACAUUUUGGGCCCGUUUAGACACCUUAAACUCGCCUAGAUUCACCUUAGACCCGCUUAAGCACUUCAUUGGGGCUCAACAUUUUUAUAUAAUCUCUUGAUCAUUAUUGCAUGCAUUUGAUGAUUAUAUUUUCUUUGUUUAUUCAUUUAUUUGUUUGUUUAUUUAUUCAUCCAUUUAUUUAUUCAUUUUUUAAUUUCUAUUACGUCUUGUUUUUUUUUUUCUUUCUUUCUUUCAUUUAUUUACCUACUUAAUAGAGAAUUGUUUAGAUAUUAAAUAUGCAUACAACCCCCUUAUUGAAUGAUGGAAUUGUACAAUCUGAUAUCUCAUUUUCUCUUUCAUUUUCUUUUAAUCGUAUUUCACUUUAUUACCAAUUUCAUGACUUUCAUUAGUUGCUUCUCUUUUCCUUUGAUUUUUUAAUCUUAUCUUAUUUUGUUUUGCAUAAGGAGCACCAUCUUGGGGAGUACAAGAGGAUCUACAUUACUGGUUUGAUCAACAUAUGUUUGAGACUAAAAGCCUUCAAGAUGGCAAAAGAUGGUCAUCACAGCCCCAUGCUUCUUCUUCCCAUCUCUCAUAAUUGAAGCCUCUGUACAAAACUUCAUCAUAUCCUGAACAAUAGCAGCCACAGCAGUUGCAGCCACAGCAGCUGCAGCCACAGCAACUGCAGCCACAACAGCUGCAGCCACAGCAGCUGCAGCGACAGCGGCAACCACAGUUAAUGCUGCAACAGCAGCCACAGCAGCAUAGACUGCAUCAUCCAGUUCAACCUUCAUUUGGUCAUUUAUCAGGGUUGCAGCCCCAACUAUUUAAUCCCCAUCUUUCCCCAGCUCCACUCAUCAUGAACAAAUAUGAAGCAAUGCUUGGGAUAGGUAAUCUGAGGGAUCAAAGACCCAAGUCAAUGCAAAAAGGUAGACCAAAUCAUCGGGUUUCUCAACAGGGCUUGGAUACUAGCAGUCGGAAGAGUGAUGUUGGUGGCCACAGUUCAGAUCCAAGUAUAUGACAGCUGAUGAAAUCGAAAGUAUCCUUAGAAUGCAACGUUGCGGAACAGAUGGAUGAGUAGAAAGGAAAAUAGCAUGAAAAUAGAAAGGAAGUGACCACUUUGUGCACAACACGCAUAUAGUGGGCUGUAAGGGGGAUUCUUUUUUGUUUAGAAAGAAAAGUCAACUUGUAUCACUUACUAAACGAGAUGUGGCUGCAUCCUUGAGGGAAUCUCCCAAUGAGCCACCAUGUAUGCACUUUCCUUAUCCAUGUGCAUUGAAAAAGGAUAUAGAAUAUUCAAUAGAGGAAAGGUGCUGCCAUAUAGAAGGAAGGUGCUGCCAUAUAAACAUGUCACAGAGAGAACACACGGUGGACUUUUCUUUUGGGAGCAGAAAUUCACAUACAAAAAGUAAUCUUUUUUAGAGGAGAUGAACACACGCAAGAGUUUUUUUUUGGGAGCGGUAGAGGACCUGAACGACUAAUUGGGCUGCCAUUUUGACACAUCAAGAAAGUAUUUUUCCAAUACAAUACAGGUUAGUUUUCGAUUUUUGAUACCGUAUUUCCUUUUUUUUUUAGUUUGGGUUUUAGUUGUUUGGUUUAAUUAAUUGUUUGUGAUAAAUUCUUUUAAAUCUCGAUUUCGAACAAUCUUUUAUUUUUCUUAUAUUAAAUGUCUAUCUUUUAUGAUUGCAAUUCAUUAGUUCUAUGCUAGUUUAUUUUUAAUUUACAUGAAAGUUUAAAUAAAGUUUAUAUUUUUAAUUCCAAUUAGUUUAUUUUUAAAUUUGAAUGAGUUAUCGAUCUUAAUUAUUUAGUUUAAUUGACCUUGUGAGAUAAAAUUUAUAUUUUUAAUUCUAAUUAGUUUAAUUUUAGUUUAUUUUUAAUUUGAAUGAGUUAUCGAUCUUAAUUCUUUAGUUUAAUCGACCUUGUGAGAUAAAAUUUAUAUUUUUAAUUCCAAUUAGUUUAAUUUUAGUUUAUUUUUAAUUUGAAUGAGUUAUCGAUUUUAAUUCUUUGGUUUAAUUGUCCUUGUGAGAUAAAAUUUAUAUUUUUAAUUCCAAUUAGUUUAAUUUUAGUUUAUUUUUAAUUUGAAUGAGUUAUUGAUCUUAAAUCUAUUAGUUUAAUUGGACUUGUAAGGUAAAGUUUAUAUUUUUAAUUCCGAUUAGUUUAAUUUUAGUUUAUUUUUAAUUUGAAUGAGUUAUUGAUCUUAAAUCUAUUAGUUUAAUUGGACUUGUAAGGUAAAAUUUAUAUUUUUAAUUCUAAUUAGUUUAAUUUUAGUUUAUUUUUAAUUCGAAUGAGUCAUUGAUCUUAAUCUAUUAGUUUAAUUGGUCUUGUAAGGUAAAGUUUAUAUUUUUAAUUCCGAUUAGUUUAAAUUCUAGUUUAUUUUUAAUUUGAAUGUGUUAUCGAUCUUAAUUCUUUAGUUUAAUCGAUCUUGUGAGGUAAAGUUUACAUUUUUAAUUCCAAUUAGUCUAAUUCUAGUUAUUCAUGUGUUUCUUGAAAUCUAAAUGUUAGUUUUUGAAUGAUAAUUUUGUUAGUUUGUUUGAUUAGGAAGUCAUAAAUUUGUUGUCUUAGUGAUUGUUGGUCAAUUUUUUUUUAGGACCACUGGAAACCCAUGAAGGUUGGCCUUUACUCUCACCACUUUAAUUGAUAAGAUUUUCUAAAAUCUUUAUUUCGUGAUCUUUGUUUCCUUUUGUUUUGAUUGAUAUUUUGUUUUCUAUUUUUGUUAUUUUAAAAAUUAAUUUCUUUUAUUUUAAAACAAAACUCUUUUUCUCAAAAAAACCCUUUUUAAAAUUUUUUUUUUAUUAUUCAUUUAAAGCCUCUAGAAUCAAAAUCUAUUUUCUUUUUUAAAAAAUAACAUGCAACCAUAUCUUAAUCAGUUUGCAUCCUUCUCAAUUUUCAACAAAAAUAUCCUUCUCAAUUUUCAACAAAAAUUUUGGUUUUAAACAAAACGCGAAUCAAAGCUUGUGGUCCCAAAUAAAUGGAACAAUUUUAGGCUAAAUUCAUGUAUAUUAAUUUGGGGAAUUGGUGAAACCCCUACAUAAGAAAAUCUUUUCAAAAUUUACUUUUGCUACCACCCUACUAUUUAUCAUAAUCAUAUUUACUUUUUUUCUUUUUAGGAAUUGUAUACAAGAUAUGUAUGAUAAUUAAUUAUUCCGAGUUCUGAUAAUUUUUGCUAAUUAAUUAGAUAAGCAUGCUAGGAUUUAUUAUUUAUUAUCUAUUAUCUAUUAUCUAACCCUCAUGUUCUGAGGAAGUGCAUUAGGAGUUAUAUAUGCUAUCCAGGUACGUUCCCAAAAUCUCAUGAAUAUGCAUGUCAUUACCCUUGUUUGAUGCCAUACUUGAUUGCCUCGAUGCUUGUUUGAUCAUCCUUGAUAAAAUGCAUGUCGUGUGUCAUAUUUCUGAAUUAACCAUUGAUGUUUAAUGAUAGUGCUUAAGAAGUGGUUCAGGUACGCACCCUAACUCUCCUUUAUUGUGAUUGAUCUCCUUAUUUAGCAUGCUACUUUCUGAAAAUCACCUAGCUUACUUAAGUAUCCAUAAUUAAUCAAUUAAUUGCCUCAUUUCCCCAAUUUAGUCAGUAAAGACCUCUUUAGGGCUUAGAAGGGUGCUACCUCCUAGAGGUACCUUCCCAAUAAGUAACCUGAUCCCCGGACCUAGACUCGGGUUUUUCAAAGACAUGUUUUUUUCAAAAAUUAUGGAGUCACAUUUUAGGGUUUUUCUUUCUUGUUUUAUUUUCCCUUUAAAAUAAAAAUAAAAUAAGUGGCGGCUCCAACUUUUCCAAAACUAAAUAAUUUUUCACAAAUAAAAAAAGAGUCUCGCCAAUCGAGUGGGGACGCAUGUGAAAAAUGCAGGUCCACAGAGAGGUUUCUUGAGGUGGACAAGGUCAGAAGCAAAGAGCCUUUCCCUACUUUUUGGGGUUGGUUCCUUGAGUUCUUAGGAAGAACUUAGUUAACGUGUGAAUUCAUUCAGGGUAAUUUAUGUAAGAUUUUCUAGAUUUUGCAAGUGAAUGCACCUUAGCUUUUCCUAUUGUAUUUGUGUUUUUUUAGGUUGAUUAUUUUAUUGAUUGUCACCACUCAAGGAAUGGAAGCAAUAGGGUCUCUAGAUGUAGUGCCUAAAGGCAAGCAUACAGGCGUUGUUAGGAGUGUGCUUCCCAUGUCCAACAAGCAUAUUGACACCACCCAAAGCCAAGGCAUCUUUGGACUAGGAGUUCUAGCUUCUACUUAUGUGGACUUUGUAGAUGCAGUCUGGCUCUUCGAAAUAUUUAUUGUUAUGUAGUAGUUAUACACAUGUACUUUGUUUAAGUGAAUUGAUUUUUGGAUUUUUACUUAAAUCAAAUUUAAGGGUAUGUUGUUUAAUUUACUAGAGAUCUCUUGUUUGUAAUUCUCGUUAUCAUAUAUAGAUCUUUGUUAGUAUUUGCCAAUUUCCUCAAUAGCAACUGUAUUAGUUAUCAAUGGAAUGAAUCUUGAGUAACUUGUAGUAUCAUUUUUGGUUUUGAAUUGGCUAAUCUUUUUUGGAAGAAUGAAUUAGAUAUAUGAGCUUGAUUGCAAGCAAUAGUUGAGUUUGUUUUGAUCUUGGGGUAUUUGCCUUAUUGAUAGGACAUAGAUUUUGGGUCCAAAUAGUUGGAAAUUGAUGAGCUUAACCAGGACAUAGAUUUUAUCCCCUUGGGAGAACCACAACACUAACCAGUGUUCCUACAAAAGCUAAUAACCAUGAUUUAGAAAUGUGAUUUCCCUAAAGGGAAGCAUUUCUAAUCUUAUUUGAAGGGAAACUUUGAUGUCUUCCUUAAUACACUAGAAUAUUAAUUUAAAAACAACAAUUAAGGUUAUAUUAACUAUUAUAAUAAUUUAUAAAUUACAUAAAUAUGAUAAUAACUAUUAAAAUAAAAGUAUUAAACAUAAAAAUGUUUAAUUCUGUUGGGUAAAAACUUCAUAAAUAUUUUAUUAUUGAACUUCUAUCAUAUGAUCAAACAUAGUGAUGAUCCUUAGUUGGAUUAAUUAACACUUGUUUCAUAAAUUGAACAACAUAUAACAUGAUCAAUAAACAAACAAGUAAACAUCAUACUAGAUAAAACUAUCUCUUAAGAUUUCAAUUAUUACAUGUUUAAAUUACAAAUCAUAUUUUUGCAACUUUCGUAAAGUUAUGCAAUAGAUAUAAUUAAAAUUAUGAAACAUUGAAAAUGUAUAUUGAUUCAUUAUUCAAAUUCAUCAUAUCAUAUAUAUACUUUAGUUGUCCAUAAGAUCAAAUAAUAACCAAAAUUCGAAAAAUAUGUUUUAUGAUCCAAAAUUGAUUGACACUAAUAUCAAUUGUUACAUAAACUUUAUGUGAAAUAAUUAUUUUGGAAAAUCAAUUUGGAUGCAUAAAGCAUAAUAGUUAUAAGAAAUAAAGAAAUGACAAAAUAAUAAUUAUAUUUUUGUCUUAAUCCAUGAUACCGAUAACACUUUUAAAGUGAGUUCGAGUCACUUUGUGAAUUGUUGGGUCAAGGUAUUCAACUCAUCAUUCUCAUUUAGUAGAUGAGACAAUUGUGUGGUAUAUGUUGUUAUAAGCAAAACAACUAAAAACAUAAGAAUACAAUACAACUUAGGACCUUAACUUUAAAAAAAGAUUUAUAACUCUUAAUCUUCUCAUAAAAGAUUAUAUGAGAGUUAUACUCAUUAUUUUUAAACAUUAUAUAUAAAUUAAUGGACAAUAGUAAACUACCAACUUGAAUACAUUCAUGUAAUUAUAUAAAUUACACUUUUUCAUCUUCCUCUAUUAGUCAUAAACUUUAUAUAUAAAUUAAAUCUCAUAAUGAUGGAGUUACAAAAGUUGUAAUACCAUAUUCGUAUAAAUGAAAAUUUUCUAACUCCAUAUUUAUAAUUUUAAUUUUCUAUGUUAGAAGUUGAAUUUGUUCCACAUCGCCAAGUUACCGGGUUAUUAUGUUGUUUAUAUAUGUGGAUUGGGCACCCUCUCCCUUUAAGCAAGCUUUUAGGGAUGAAUUAUAUUCAAACCCAUUUAACAUGGUAUCAGAGCUUGGUUUGACUGGGGGUCGUGGGUUCAAGCCACCUCUUCGCAAUUCGUAUGUUUGUUCCUCAUUUGCAUGUUUGAAAGUCUAGAAAAGGGUAUUUGCAUUUGUUUGUUUGUCCCUUCACGUGUGGAUAUGGGGCCACACAUAAGAUAUGGUGUUAAAAAGCAUGAAAUGUAUAUUGAACCCAAAUCUUAUAAGUUUAAGCUUUUAGGAAAAUUAGUAAUUCAACAUUCUAUACAUAAAAUUAUUUGAUGUCCAAUCAAUUGAUUCACCUACCUAUCAAUUAAUAUACUUUUAAAUAAAAUAUAUUUCAAUCCAUUACACAAAUAUAAUUAAAACAAAGUACUAUAAUAAUAUGAGUAUGUGACAAAUAAAUAAAAUAAAAAUAAUCACAUGUUACAUGUAAACUAUAUUCAAAGGAAAAACCACAAGUCAUCCCCACUAUUAAACAAUCCAUUGUAUAAUGAUCAAUUACAAAGACCAAGUAUUACCAAACUUAAAAGUAUCUAAAUCAUACUCACUUUGCACAUUUUCUUUAUACUUGGAUCCUUUAAACUCAUUUAUCCCAAUGUGGAAGCAUCUUGAGUUCUAAUCAAGGAAAUCAACCUUUACUUCAUCAAGUUAAAGUCUCUUUAUAUCAUUGACAACCAUAUCAAGAUUUCUUUUGUUGGUUGCUUUCAAAGUCCCACUAGAAUUAGAUUGAAAUUUUUAUAAUCUCUAGAACUUUAACAUAUUAAUUCUUCAAUGAGUCAAUCAAAUAUUAAGUUUUAUCUCCAUAGAUGGACCUCAAUGAAUUUUUCGACAAAGGUGUUAACACUAAUUUCAUAUUAGUAAAAAAAAAUCAUGUGACACAUAUUGAUAUAUAUAUAUAUAUACUAAUUUCAUAUUCAUAGAUUGAAUUCAUGAGAAAAUUAUUCUUAAUUUUGUAAAAAUUAUAUAUAUAAGAAAGUUUUUAGGCUUACUAAAACACAUUACUAACCAAGUGGCAAUAUAUUUAUAAUUUAGGUCUCAUUAUUUUGUAAUCAAGUUUCAUUCAUUUGUAUCAUAUAUGAGUCCUAUUAUGUCAUACCUUACUCUUAUUACAUUGUACUUUGAUCUUAUUUGUUUAAACAUCGAUUUCAUUUCUUUAUAUGUACAUCACAUUUAUUUAUAUCUCAAUCUUAAUUAUUUGUAUCUUUAUUUAACAGUUUAGAUUUCAUUACAUAUUUUUAAAAUUUUAAUUUGAAAUUCGAUAUCUUAGUAUUUUUCUAAAAUAGCUACCUAUAAUCCUUGUAGAGUACUCAAAAUUCACUCCAACCCAUAAAAAAAAAUGACCUCUCUUCGUAAGUUGCUAUACUCAUUGCUAAACUAUAAUUCCAAAAUUAGCAGAACUUUUCAUACUUAUUCUAGGCAAUUAGAGUUGAGAUGUUCCGGGCAUAUACCAUAUUCUUUCAAGAUUUGAAAGAAAUGUUACGAUUUCAGCAUUAAAUAAUGCAUGUCGAUUAACAAUAUUGCUCAGAUUCUUUAGGCAAAGGUCCACAGACAAAAAAAUUAUUUAUUUAUUUUCUGAACCACCCCUGAAAUUGACACCUCCCAUACAGUCUGAUCUGCAUUUCUGUGGCACUAUUUCCCUUAUUCCUAACCAUAAAUCUGCUGCCAUCUCAAUAAUUCACAUCCUUAUCCACUCCUUAUCUAGGGUUGUAACACUUUUUUCAAAAAGAUUUUUUUUUUUUUUUUUCGAAGGGGUGGAUAAGGGUCCUGAGACAAGCUGUGGUAUAAUUAUAAACCCACUUGGGUAAUGGUUUCAUUGUCAGGGUAAUUCUAUUUAAGGUGAAAAUCAGCUGGGUCUAUCAUUCUUGUUUCCAUGUGACUGUUUCCAAGGAGAACUCAACCCUCAAAUCCAUCGAGCAGUCAUAUAAAAAUACACGCAGAUUUCAUAUCUUGAAGCUUGUCCUGUGUUCAGAUCGGAUAACUCACUCAUAUGCCUAAUCACUAAUCGCCAACUUGAGUGUAAAAAAAGCGUGGGGCGAUAUUAUUUGUAUAUGGGUUUGACUGUUUGAGAGAGAAAGGUGGGGUGUCCCUUGGAGGAGUCCAAAGGCCAUUUUUGAACCUGCCUUUGAUUAUCGCCAUGGCAAAUCAACAGCUUGUAGUAUAUAUAUAUUAAUGGAGACCAAGACUCAAAUAGAGAGAGAGACGCGGGGAUGCGAUAAAGAGAACAGUAUAGCCAAGAGUAUAUAAGCAUUUCUCUUGCUGUAAUGGUGAUUCAGAGACUGGAAAUGUGUAUAUCACUGCUGAAAAUGGCAGUAGAGUUUGUGCUUGUUUUCGCGGAGGCAGUCGGGCUAGUCAUCAACCACAAUGCCACGCCGCUUUUGGCAAACUCAGCCUCAGUUGGCAAUGAUGUUUCUGUCCCUUUUAUCGGUUUUCUUCUUUGAAUUCUUCGUCUUGUAGUUUCCUUCCUUACCAGAAUGCUCAUUGGCCAUUGUAUAUGUUGAGGGUUCUUUUUUGCCUUGAUAGAUUUUCUAAAGGAUGUGCAUGUUUGAUAGGAGAGAGUAUAUAUACACAUCUAUGUAAACUUUGAUUAAAUUUUGUUCUGGGUGAGCUUCAUUUUCUGCAAAUUCAUUUGCUGAUAGCUUUGGAAACGAAUCUUCAGUUGUUUGGGUGCUGAUUAUUUGCUUGCUUCACACGAUUUUAUGUGCUGUUCCUUUGGUAAUAAUCUUGUUGGGUGGAUCAAGGAGAAGAGCGAAGAUCUGAGGGAAAAUAGAGUCUGGAGAAAGAAAAGAUGUAAUGAUGAUUAAGAAAGGCUUUAAUAUACUUGCAAGAUCAGGAAAAAAUAUUUCUUGGGUAUCAAUUAUUUUCUUGCUUGAUAUGGGUUUGAUACUCUUUUUCAAUUGGUGAUCAUUCUGGGAAGAUCAAGAAGAAGAAAAUGGGGUCUAGAUGAAGAAAAGCUAUAAUGGCGAUUAUUAAGUGGAAUCAGAUGAAAUAAAAGUCUGUUUCCAUCAUUCUUAAUAUGGUUUCUUUUGUCAAAAAUGGAAGAUGACUUGAUUUUCAUAGUCCCAGCAGGACUUUAGUACUCAUCAAACUCAUAAAUUUUGAACAACUUUGAGCUAACCUUCUGCAUUAAUUUGGUGCAUCUGCGCAGUUGCAGAGUAUGAACACCCACAAAAUCUUAAUAUGAAUCUUUUGGGGCAAUAGCUUCUAUAUAUGAUGGAUGAUAAGAACAAAGCAAAUCUUGGGUUCUCCAUGGGCACGAUCAUUUAUCCGCCAUAUAAAAUGCAGAUUUUCCUAACACCAACCCCUUAUUUUAAUAAAGUCAAGUUAUUUUAAGGCCCCCAAUAUUAGACAUGCCUUAGAAUCAUUGGGUCUGUGAUUAAAAAUGUAGUAAUAUCAUUUAAAAUACCUAACACUGAAAUUUUGAUAAUUUUGAAUGCCAUAGUGUGGAUUUGAAGAAAGAAAUCGCAUCCAAGAUCUCUUCCUUUUCCUGGGAAACAUUAGUCUUGGUCAAUUAUGAACUGUUACACGUUGCCUAUCAUGGUCAUAUUUAUAUUAGCUUUGAUUUCUAUGGGGGAUAUAAUUUAUUUGUAUGCUAAUCAUAGAGGUGAUACAUGUGAUCCACAUGUCAUAUUUGGACUUGGAAGCAAUCAUUGGAUUCCUUUGAUGAACUGGCAAUGGAAGAAUACUAAUUGCUCCGGUCCCUUUCUUUUUUCAAAGUAGGAUGAUCAGGUCCUUUGAUCCCUUCGACUCCCUCUGGCUGUUUUUCUUUGUUCUUUUUUCAAUCAUCCAUAGCUUAAAAUUAAAGCCUUGAUGCCCUCCUCGACUUUCCCAAGAUAAAACACCUUAUCUUCACUUUAUUUCUCUUCCCUUUAAAUUUGAUUUUAGAUCUGAAAUCCAGGGCUUAUGACCCUGUAGAAGAAAGACAGAUAUGAAGCUUGGGAUGAUUUGAACUUCAGUUUGAUUUUCUGCACACUCUGUUAAAACUCCUGAAAUAUAGUUGUAUAUUGCAAUACAUUUAAUUGUUUGAUACAUCUGAACUAUGAUGUUCUAUUAGUAAAAAUUUCUUUGAAUCAAUCCACGGCUCAAAGUACCAAUUUCUAUUGAAACUUUUUUUCUUUUCCUGCUCAUUCAAUUGUUUCAUUUUCCACAUAAUGGUAUGACAACAUCAAGAAUACUUCUCAGCAAUUGCCUGCAGGUGAACCCAAAGCUCUUUUGGCUUAGAGAUCAUGACCAUGUGAUCAGAUCCUUUAAUCUCUUUAACAGCAUCAGGUGGGUUUUUUUCAAUCAUCCAGAGUUGAAAAUCCCUUUUCCCCAGCUUGUCUUCCUCUGAAAUAAUAAAGACACGUUUAACCGAGGCAUAUUUCUUCGACAACAUGAGCUCAUUUGACAUGUCUUCUUCAAUGAACAAGCGUACGGGUCUCAUCAACACAGUCCCUAGUGCCAAGUCCUGGAAUAUUUGUGCCCGAAAUGAUAUGACAACAACAAUGAAGGUCUCAUGAUUUUGGUUGUAAGGCCUUAAUAAAUGGAGUUCUCACCUCAGUUGGGCUCAACUGAUACACAUUCAGUGAUAAGAACAAGGGGCCAAAGCUGAAAGUGGUGGGAGGAUUGUUGGGGCCAUUAUCAUAUGUGAACUGGCUGUCUAGUAGAGGACCUUGUCUCCUGAGUGACUUCAAUAAGAAGUAGAAACCAGGCUAAAAGUCAGAAACAGGGGAAGCCUUCCCCUCUUAAUCAGCAAGUAAAUUUCUGUAAAAGAAAAAUAGUAUGUAUGAAGUACCUCUUGAUUGAGAGUGGAAAUGUUGAGAGUGGGACCAGGCAUUGAGGCAGUAACAAAAACAGCUACAGAAACCUUUUCUGGGAACUUCUCCAUGGCCUGAGAAAUGGCCAAUCCACCCAAGCUGUGUCCAACGAGAACCACCCUCUCAUCUGCAGGGAGUGACUCCACGAAGUCCCUCAGUGGCUGGAAAUACCAAGAAAUUGAUCGCAGAUCACCCACUUGUUUUGGGUUAAUUCCAGAAGCAGCCAAGUCCAGAGCAGUAACUUUGUGGCCAGAUGAUUUUAGUAGUGCCACAAUCUUGUACCAAGACCAGGCACCAUGGCAAGACCCAUGAACUAGAACAAAGUGCUUGACGGGAUUAGCCUGUCUCCCCUCUGAUGCCAUUGGAUACACUGAAGAAACAAGAAAAAUCAGAAAGGAAACAAAAAUCAUAUGCUUCUUCCUUGCUUCCAUACUCCUUUCCUGUUACAGAGAUGGUCAGCACCCCAGCAUUUUAAAGGGCACAAUUGGGUAGGUUUUCACUACAACUACUAAUCUAAUUGAUUAAAAAUUUUCCCGUGAAAUUGACUCUAGAAAUAAAAUAAGGACUAAGGAUUCAAGAACACGUACACUUUGACUGCCAGAGUUUAUGUCUUUUCAUAGAUGACACAUGCACCUGCGUCACACUCUUUUUCAAUGAUAAAGAAGUUAUGCAAAGGAAGAAAGAAUGAAAUAUACAGAGUCAAGUAGUUAACUCCUCCCCUUGAAUUCUUCUCUUGCCCGGAUUGGUUUGUAACUGCAAACAUUUUCUUUUCCCAAUGUGAUCUGUGGAUUGAGUUCUGAUCUCAAUUUGUUUUUGGCAUUUUUGGUUUUGCUUCUGCAAAUCUUGAGAUGUAUCUUUCAAUUAAUAUAAGUUGUGCAGUUAAGGUUUUUGGACAUAUAAAAUGUUAGCCAAACCUUUCCCGUGGCAGGUUGAAGGUACUUUGGGGUAGGCUUGGUCAUGCUUGAUACCUCAGUCUGACUCAAACAUGAUGUUUUCACCCAUUUGAAUUGAUCAAAGUUGUGUUGACUGGCAUGAUUCCUUUAAUAAAGAAGUUGUUUUAGGAUUAAGGCGUACAACACAAAUUUGACUUAAGUAGAUCUAUUUAAUUAUUGUGUAUUAACAUAAUUAUAAUCAAUUGAGUCGAAAAUGAAUUAAAUUAAAAAGUUAAUUUUAUUGAUUUAAAUAAGACCUAAUUCAACCUGAUUAUUAAAUUACUCAACUUAUUAUAUGAUUUGAACACUGCCCACCAACAUUAAUUGUAACCCGUGCUUUGAGUUCAGGUGGCAGCAAGAGUUUGGCCUUUGUUUUGAGUGUUGGAUGAAUGUUGGAUUAACCUUUCCCAUGGCUGUCAAAUUCCUCAUAAAUUAUUGGUGAUUGUAAUAAUUUCCUCAAAAAGUAAUGGUGCUAUAUGCUUCUUUAGGAUCCAUUGAUCUUAAUAAUUCUCUUCCUGGUAUAGGAAGAAAGUGACUAUUCCAUUACUGCAGCUUUCAUUGCUGCUUAUUUAUCAAGCAAAUUACAUUAUUAUUUUCACACCAAAUCUCCAAAUUCACCAUGUACUUAUCCUAUAUACUGCAUGGUGAACUUCAGAGAGCUAAAACAAGCUCUUAUUGAAUACAUGAUAGAUGAUGUCCCACUGACCCUUUUACUCUGAUACCUUGAAAUGAGAAAUUUGGAGGUUUUCCACAUCAAGCUUCUUGAAAUUACUGCGCCUUCUCGCAGCAAAGAACUUUCCCCAGUUGUAUGCUCUGUACUUUGGCUUUUCUCCCUUCGUCAGCUCCUCCAAGGGCUUCACCCAAACAUGGUGCCCGGGACUGAAAAAGACCGGAAUUGAGAACCUUUCCCUCUCUGAAUUCACCGUCACCCUGUGCUCGACACUUUCAUAAGUAUCGUUGCUCCAGACCUGGUUUAAUAUCAGUAUAAUUAGCCAAAAGGGUGCAAAAUUUCUUGAUCCCAACAGUACUGAUAAGCAUGUACUUAUAAUUCAAAGUUCUUGGGUGGUACCUGAAUUAUAUCCCCAACAUUGAUGAUAAAAGCAUCUGGGGUGGGCUUAACUCGAACCCAUUCUCCAUUGGUUUUUCGCUUUACUUCCAACCCUCCAACAUCAUCCUGGGCAAGGAUGGUUAAGGCUCUGGAAUCCUUGUGGCGACCAACGCCCAAAGCUAGGUGAGGGAUGGGGCAAGGUGGGUAGUGAUUGAGGCGGAUGAAGUUUGUUGAUUCUUCAAAGAGAAUAUUGAAUCUGUUUUCUGGCA